UCUCAACUAAUAAUUUUAUUAGCCAAGAGACAUAUACAAUAUAUAUUUGAAAAUUUAAGAUUUAUUUAUAGCAAUCAAGCAAUGGCAAAUUUGGCACCGAGGUCCAUUGUGGUGGCACUUUUCCUCCUCGCAAUAGUUCUCUCCCCAGCAAUGCCAUGUGAGGCAACUCGACUGCCUCAGCGAGGUUGAUAAAUAAUUCUAUAAAUGCAUUUAUUACAUAUAAUUAAUUAGUCAAUCAAUUCAUUUUCCUUUAGCAUAAAUUAAGUUUUCUGAUUUGUAUAAUUAAUUAAUUAAUGAAUUAUAUAGUUGUUGAUUUGAAUUAAAUAUGCCCACAGAGCUACUUCAGGGAGGCCCCAUAUGUCCUGCUUGUGUGUGUUGUACACCUCCGCCACCGGGCAAAUGUUGUCGUCGUUGCUGUGCUAAUCCAUCUCCUACCAGUCUUCAAUCUCAGAUUAUUAAUAAUGUUUCACCGUGAGAAAUCGAUAUAUCAAUCUCAAUCUCAAUCUCAAUCUAAACCUAAUAAUCCGCACUUAAUUUCAUAUAAUUAAUUUUACUAUAUACACCAUUAAAUAAUAGGAAACUUAUAUUUUUCACAUCAUUUUUUUUGAUAUUUUCACAUGUAGGGCCACAUAUUAGUUGAUGUGUCAAAUUUUUAUUAGCUAAUAUGUGGGCCCUGCAUUUAGAAAUAUCAAAAAAUAAUGUGAAAAUAUCAAUUUUCUACUUGUGUCAUGUUAGCGUGAUAUCAUGUGAUUAGUUGAUAAAAGUUUAUUAUGUAAACUUUCAAGUAUUUGUUUUAUUACAACUUUAAUGUAAGUCGAAAUAAGCAUCAAUAAAAUUAUAUAUAUUAUGUUUUGUUACAACUUUAAUCUACUUGCUCCUUUAGUUUCCACAUCAUAUUACUCUUUUAUGUUAGCCUCCUGGUAAACUUUCAAACCCGGUUAAAAAUAUGUAGUAAUCAAGUUACAUUGAACUCUACUUUGAAAAGUCUUUCUCGUGAGAGGUUUUUUAAAAAUUUAUAUGUGAACCUUUGUAUAAUUAAUUCCUCUUAAUAGUUGUAAAAAAUGAUAAUGAUAAUAUUAUAUAGGAGCAGGUUUUAACAAUAAAUCAUAAUUUCAUAAAAUUUAUAUUCUUAUUGUGGAUUAGAAAUAUUCGAUGAGAUAAGCAAUUGGGCCAGUGAUAAGGACCAACUGGCCAUCCGUAAAUAUCAAUGGUCAAAGUUUACACACUUUAAAAUUGGAUUGCAUAUCCUUUCUCCCAAUCAAAAGUCAAAAAGAAGAUUUAGUCCAGUUGAAAAGAUUAAUGGGAUCUUAGCCUAGUGGUUCAGACUAGGGCUGACAAAAUAUAGUUAUGAGUUACUUUUGGUUUUCAAAAUAUGGUUAUAGUUCCAUUUAAGAAUUAAAACCAUAUUAACCAUUUUUAAUAUGGAUUGUGUUAAUUAGAACUAUAUGGUUAUGGUUCAAAACCAUAUUAACCAUUUUAAGAUAUUUUGACUUUUAAACAAAAUUUUUGAAAAAUGAAAAUGUGACCGUCACAUUCAUCAUGAGAUUAUAUAAUCCCUCAUAAAUAGCCUUAAGAAUGACAAAAAAUAAUCUAUUGCACUAUUUAAAAUACUAUUAAUCCCCCUUCAUUCAUAAGAUAAAUUAAUCCGAAAUAGUGUUAAAUUAAGAGAAAUAAUUUAAUCCCGAAUAUGUUUUUUACAAACAAACAUCGCCCAAUAUAAUCUUUCUCCGUUGUUAGUUUUUAGAAUUGAAAACAUUUUAGUAAAAAUAUGUGACAUCGAAUUUAUCUUAAAAUGCCAGGAUAACAUAUUGGACGUGUUAUAUUGUACAACAUUUUGAGUUGUAAUGUACGGUACCAAAAUUGUACAUAAACUCUAAUGUACAACACCUAGACAUGAUGUCACUCUAAUAUCUUCUCCUCACCUGUUCAGAACUAUGAGUUGAAAAAUGGAAUGAGAUAUGGGUUGAAAAAUAGUUAAUCGGUUCAUAACUAUAUUUGUUUUAAAAAAUAUGGGUCCAAACUUUAACCAACUUGAAUAAAUAAAAAUGAUUAACAAACCUAUUUAGUUCCAGUUAAUAUGAUUUGAACCAACAGUUAAUUAAUUAUAUUGUCAGGUCUAGUUCAGACUGUGGUAUAAGUAGCUCACCUUUUGGGUCUCAUGUUCUCUUCUUACUUAAGUGAGUUUAUUUCUUAUUUUCUCUUUAUGUGAGACUUAUUUUUGGGUCUUUAUGUGAGGAGUUCUUCUACUGUGACCUGCGGGUAGCAAUCGGUCUAGCUAUUGGUGCAAUUUUUUAUUUUUUUUUACUCCUAAACAAUUAAUGUGAUUUAAUAGAAUUGAAAUUUUUAUAAAAUUCAGUAAUUUAGGUAUCACUUGGAUAUAUGUAAAAAAUAAGAUUUUACAGUCUGUGCAACCCUGUUUUUUACAUGUAUUCAAAUGACAUCUAAAUCACUGAAUUUUGUAAAAUUUUCAUUUCUAAUAAAUCACAUUAAUUGUUUGGGAGUCAUAAAAAAAAUAUCGGUCGAGAACGGUCCCCAAAAUCCGGUCACCCAAGACUUAUUGUUUUGUCAGACUUAUUUUUUGGGUCUGUGAGAUUUAAUUGGUUGCUGAUAAUGUACUUGAUUAUCAAAUUGUAUUAUAUAUAAAAAAUUUUCAUCUGGUUAUUUUGAUUGGUUGAGUCAUUCGUUUGUAAUUAACAUACAUACCAAUGCAAUGACAAAAUUCACACUUGGAUGAAAUUUGAUUGUUUCUGAUAAUGUAUUUAAUUAUGGAAUUAUAUUUUGAGAUUUAUUUUUAGGUGAAAUUAAUUUGAUUGAUUUUUGAUGAUAUAGUUGAUUAUAAAAUUAUAUUGUAUAAAAGAAAAUUGUCGUUACUUCAACUGAUUGAGUCAUUCGUUUGUGAUUAACUUGCCUACAAAUGCAAUGGCAAAAGUCCACACUUAUGAACUGUAAUAAAUAAUUAAUUAAACUGAAUGAGUCCAGCAAAAAAUAAUUAAACAAGGAUAUCUAUAUGGAACCAACGUAGUACUCCCUCCGUUCCUUAAUAUAAGUCGUUUUAGAAAAAAAAAAAUUGUUCCUUAAUAUAAGUCGUUAUAAAAUUUCAAGUAAGCAUUAAUUGCUUAGUUUCCAAUAUUAUCCCAAGUAUUAAAUAUAACUUUGGUUCUCUCACUAUUUUUUGUCCAAUAAAUAACGAACUCUUAUUCCAAUAUAAUUGGAAGAGUAAUAUAGACAAUUGAUAUUAUAAUUAAUGUAAUACAAUCAUUACCUUAAUACUUGUGCACAACUCUAAAAUGACAUAUAUUAAGGAACGGAGAGAGUAUUAUAUAAUAAUAAUAAUUAAUACGUGGAGUAUUAACAUGCAUGGAGAAAUGAAGGGAGAGCUGAGAUAGAGAGAUUUAUAAGAGAACUACAAUAUUAAACCUACUAUACCUACCCGUUUGAAAAUCAAAUUGUCCUUGGACUAGAGUAAAACAUAAAAGCAAGAUUAGAAUCAUGAUUAGCAUCAUGAUCUCCAUUGGUUGACUCAUCGAUCUUUGGGAAAUCAAAUUAAUUAUGGAGAGCCACCACAAACUUGGCAACUGAAGAGAUAAGUUGCUUUAAUUAAUAAUUGAAUAUAACUAUGGAAGGACAUAUCUAUGUACAGUUAAUUAAGUUGUACAUUCAAAGACAUAUUCAAGUAUAUAAAAUGAUAGAGUAAUAAAAUAUUUCUCUCUUUUCUCUACAACACUUACUCCUCAUUUAUUAGGACUCUCUAUUCCUAAAUACGUGACAUUUAAGAUUUUUGUACAGGAAUUAAAGAUGUAAAACUCCUAAAAUUAAAUUACUCCAUUAAAAUUACUAUGUAUUAUCAAAAACACUGUUUCAUAGAUAAAUGAAAAGUUAAAUUGUAGGUGAUAAAGAUAAGAGAGACGUAUUGUUAGAGGAUAGAGAAAAUAUAAGAAUUAAAGGGAGUAUACGAGUGAGAUAUUAUAAGAGAGAAAAAGUAGCUUUGAAAAAAUAAGAGAGAAUUAAAGAGAUUAUAAAAUGUUUAGGGGUAAUAAAGUAAAUAAUAUAACUAAUUCUCCUAGAAAUUUUAGAGCAUCGUAUAUUUAGGAAUAAGAAAUUUAUCCUAAAACGUUAGUUAUUAAAGAAUGGAGGGAGUAACUUGAGAUGCGUCUUUAGAUAUAGAAUUAAUGUCUCAACUCUCACGUCAGUGAGUCCUUCUAUGCAGACAGGUUUUUUUGACCGUGAAUCCCAUUACUCUCUCCUUCUCGAAACAUUGUUUUUAAUUUAUUUUAUUAAAACCAUAUGGUCUGACCCUCAAAACACGAUUAACUGAAUCUCAAAAAAAUCAAAUCCACAUCCAGGGGGUCAUCGAAGAAAGUCGGACAUGUUGAGUUCCAGGAUGGGUAAAAUGCAAAGUUGACCACUGAACUUUAGGGGUUUUUAGGUAUUGAGGCCUUUUCUUUUGGUCAACGCAAAUUGAGCCCCUUUCUAUUAAAAAAUUUGGACUUCGAGCCCCAGACGCCAUGUGUGCGUUGACCUACAUACGUGGCAGUUCUGACGUUGACAUUUUUUAUUUUAUUUUACAAGUGGACAGAGAUCGAGCUCUUUAAUUUUAAUAUUAUGAUAUGAUGGUUCAUACCAUAUAUAUAUAUAUAUNNNNNNNNNNNNNNNNNNNNNNNNNNNNNNNNNNNNNNNNNNNNNNNNNNNNNNNNNNNNNNNNNNNNNNNNNNNNNNNNNNNNNNNNNNNNNNNNNNNNUAGAUCAUAUACAGACGUGUCGAUUUUUCAAAUUCAUCAUCAAGAAAGAUGCUAGUACUGUAUAUAUAGUACUACCACCAUUGCACACAUACUUAAUAGUUUCAUUCUGUAUUUAUUUUUAAAAUUUUGAAGUUUUUCAAUAAUAAUUGAUACGUGUAUAUUUAAUUUUAAUAUUAUAAACUAUUAAAAAAAUUAUAACUAAUUAAAAAAAAUUUAUUUUCAAAAUUAAAUAUAUUCACAUCAAAUUUUAAAUUUCAUAUUCUGCGAAUUGAAUUCAUGUAAAAAGCAAGCAUACAAUUAUUUUUUGAAACAGAUGGAAUAUCAUUAAUAUCGAAACAAAAAAAAAUAUUCCCUCUAGUGUAAGUAGAAGAGCAUGCACAAUAAUACACAUGAAACUGUUAUUUUUUUUAUAUAUAAAAAAAAUGAUUUUUUCACAUAAAUAAUUAAUAAUUUUCAGGUACGUACAGUAAUACACAUGAAAUGUAAAAGAGAUUUAUCUACAAAUAUCAAUUUCUACAAACAUUCUUGUAUUUUAGAAAGAAGGAAAUAAUUAAUAAUAAUAAUAAUAAUACUAAUAAUAAUUAUUAUUAUUGUUAAUAUUAUUAUUAUUACUGAUAUUAUUAUUAGUAGUAUUAUUAUUUUAUUAUUUUGGUUUCUUGCAUGAGUCAGUAUAAGUUUUAGUAAUGCAUGAAGUUAUUGUUAUUAUUGUUAUUGUUAUUAUUAUUGUUAUUUGGGAAAUGAUUUGUUCAGUUAUAAAUAUUAAUCAUUGUAAAAUUAUAACAACUAGGCUUUUUUGCUCAGUUGGUCAUUGGUUCUAAGUAUUAAACUAGAGGUCUCAAGUUCAAAUCUUGGCAACUACAUAAAUGUUGGGAUCAAGUAUAAUAUUCGCCACGUCAGCCUGUCCACUUGUAAAAUAAAAUAAAAAAUGCUCACAUCAGAUCUGCCACGUAGGCGCCACGUAUGUAGGUCAACACACAUGUGGCGUCUGGGGCUCGAAGUCCAAAUUUUUUAAUAGAAAAUGGCUUAAUUUGCGUUGACCAAAAGAAAAGGGCUCAAUACCCAAAAACCCCUAAAGUUCAGUGGUCGACUUUGUUUUAUCCGUUCUAAGAUUAAGGAUACACCCAACAAUAGCCAGAUUUGGUUGGGCACUUUUUGAACUCUUGAGGAAGCCUCCGAGGUUUAUCUGACCAAGAAGAAUGAAUUGGAUGCUAUUAAAAGAGGUAUAGUUUCUUCUUCCCAUCAAAAAAGAAACAAACCCAUUGAUUUUUUAUUGAAGAAAUUAAAGAUCAUGUUUAUAAUGAAAAAAAUGUGGGUGCUUAUGAGAAUUGGGUUAAAACUCCUUUAGGAAGAGGUAUGGUUGCUUCCCACAGAAAAAGAAACAAAUCCAUUAACAUUUUUGGUGAAGAAAUUGAAACCUAAUAAAAGAAAAAUCAUGUUUACUAUUAAGAAAUUAUGGGUGCUUAUGAGAAUUUAUAUAUCUGUAUUUGCGAAACUUAUAUGUUUUGUGAAAUUUUAGUCUUCAGCUUUGGAUAUAUUUGUUUUAUUACCUAGAGAAUUUGGAGAGAAAGAGACAGGCAUGCACCUAAUAUAGGCUAUGUUCCUAUUUUUUAAAUAAAAAAAUGAUGGUAAUGUUUUUAGAUUGUUGGUGAAUUUUGGUUCUUUAAUUUAAGAUUAGAAGGUAAUUACUUUUACUUUAUUAAUAUUUCCUAUUGCUGCAACAUAUUUGUCGGUGAGGAAAUGGGGGAAUUGAGAGAAUAGGGAAGAUUGCAUCUUUUAGGCUUUGUUUGGAGCUCGAAAAAUGGGAAAUGAAAGGAAAAGGAAACUAUGGAGUUAGUUUUUGCAGUCGAGUUUAGCAUACCAUGAGUCCAUCACUUCAUGAGGACCAUGGCAAUCAAUUAACUAAUUAAAAGAUAUGACAGUCAAAAAAAUUGAUCUUAGGUAGUUUGUGCAUUUUCAUUUUGUUGAAUCCAGAUAAUAGUGUCAUCUGCAAUGUUAACAGAAUCUUUGAUGGGAGGAAAAGCUUUCUCAAGUCAAGUCUACAUGCCAACGGGCAACACCAUCCCAUCAAAUCAUUGAGGGCUCCAUAUCAUGAGUGUUUUACUUACCUACAUAAUCUAAAGCAGCUUUCCGAGCUUAAAGGACUUGUUGUUUAUUUUGUUCAAAAAAAUCUAAUAUACUUGUGUUUAGAUACUGUAAUGUAGACUACUAAUUUGUUAAUUGAGAUCUUGAUUUAUUUUUUGAUUUAUCAUCCCAAAAUUCUUUCUUCAUUCUCUGUAAUAAACUCUAUGAGAAUAGAGAGUCGAUGUUUUAGCAUGUGCUUUGGUUUGUAAUAUUUUAGGUGGAAUAAUAAUUGUGAAUCUUAGUCGUGGAAAAUAACUGAAGCUGAGAGCCAUUGCUCGAAAAGGAAUUGGUAAGGAUCGUGCCAAGUGGUCACCUGUUGCAACUGUUACUUUCAUGUAUGAACCCGUCAUUCAUAUGAAUGAAGAUAUGAUGGAGAGUUUAACACUACAAGACAAACAAAGUUUCGUUGAUAGCAGCCUAACUAAAGUCUUUGAAAUUGGGCAGUAUUACAAUGCACUACAGCAACAGCCUGAUGUUGUUUACUAGUUGCAAGCAAGAUGGUUCGAAUUGAUGAUAACAUCAUAGAGGCUUCCUUGGCAAUGUUGGGUAUGCUCAAAACAACUACCAUUUAAGGUCUAUACAACUGUGUCACACAGUGCAGUGAAACUACACAGAAAAACUGAAAUAGCUUAAUAGCUCAAGCUAUUGUAUCAUAGUUUUUUUAAUUACUUGGGGUAUGCCUCUAUGUAAAUCUUGAUUAUUUUUUUUAUGAAAUGAAAUCCAAUUAUUGUUUUCAUCAAUUUAGUUUGUUCUAAUAACUUCUCUUAGCAUGACAUAUAUUGUGUUUCUAAAGAUCUGGUAAGGAUCAGUACUAACUUUUACUUUAUUUACAUUAAAAGAGGACAGGCUUGCAAAAUUAAUGACAAAUAUUCAACAGGCUUGCAAAAAUGCCAAACAUUCAACAGGCUUGGUCAUCUGUACUUAUAUUAGUUAUAUUGCUACACAUUAAUUAUAAUUUUAUAAACAUGACAAACAUACAUGAAAAUACAUCAAAAAUAUUCAAAUUUCGUCAAACUUUUACUCGUAAACUUUCUUAUUUUACUUCUCCUUAAAUGGUGUCCCAGAAUUUGCAUGAUUGUUAAGACCAUAUGCACCAUUCCAAAAUGGGUAUUGAUAACCAGCCAACUAAGUGGAAAGACUUGUUGAAUACACAUUUCUAAUUGGGAAGCCUCCAACAUUACUAAGAGGGAAGCUUUCAACAUUUUGUACCUACAAAUGAAGUUAAAUUCUAUAAAAAUAAGACUCAAGAAACUAAACAAAACUACUUUGUACAAAAAAAAUAGUACAUGUUUGCCUAAAAUAGCACCAACUAGGAAGCCUCUAACAUUACCCAGAGGGAAACCUUCAACAUUUGGUACCUAAAAAAAAAGUUAAAUUAUAUCAAAAUUAGACAAAAAAAAAAAUUAAACGAAACUACUUAGUACAAUAAAUAAAUAAAUAAACAACACCUGUUGACCUAAAAUAGCAAUAGGCCAGGUGGCCUGUAAAGUUGAUUAACAUUAAAUGUAAUCAAGUUGCUAGGAAUGUUGUGGUCAUGUGAAACAUGAAUUAUAGAGUCUUGUUAAUCAAUAUAUCCAAUUUGAGAAGCCUAUACAAAAAAUACCAAAUGACACUUCAAAUUAUUGCAUGAACUUGUAAAAAUAAAAUUAAAAAAAAGAACUGAAAAUUUACCUUUUCCAAAUUUAUAUCAUCCACUUUAUUUUCAAUGGCCUUUGUCCCUUUCUCUUUCCCAUUCCUCCCUUUAUCCUCCUUUUUGUCCUUCACCUUCUUAAUAAUUUUCUCCAUAUUACCUUGCAACCUUUUGAAACGGGGUCGACCUUUACCACGAACCGCCAAAGGACUGCAAAUAUUGGAACUUUCUUUUGAUAUAUUAUUAUUAUUAUCACCACUUGGCAAUGGUGUGCUGACUUCACUACCCACUUCCAAAGGAGUACUAUUUUUACACGUGUAAUCUUUUUCUUCAAUUCAUUAGUCAACCACUUAAUCCAACGAAGAACCAAUUUUGUCUUAUCUUUAUUAUUCGUCACCAAAUCUGUCACUUCAUAAAAGGUAUUUCACAUUCUAUCAAAACGUUCAUUUUCAGGGUUUAACAUCCAAUCAGAGUAUAUAAUUUUAACCUUUGUAUGACAUCUCUUCACAUCUUUCCUCCACCUUCUAAGAAUGAAUUUCUCUGGUAUGGUAUGAACUUCUUUUUGAAGCAAGACAGUUAUGGCGUGACAACAUAAGAUUCCCCUAAACUCAAAUAAUUGACAGUUACACCUAAUGUCACAAUCAUCCCCUUUAAAACAAACCUUAAAAGUGGCUUUACGAUAUGUCCCCCCAUCUUAUCUUGCGAAAUAUUUCAUACACUCGAGUCCCACACUCCUUUUUCUCUGAAGAAAUACUACAAUAAAACUUGUUUUUUAUCUCACCUUGAAACUCUUUGAAUUUUGAAGUGGUGUAAGAUUUUUAAAAUUGUUCCUCUAACGGAUAAGAAGUGAUGCAUGGAAUCUUAAAGUCAAAAGAAUCGAAGUCCGCUUUAGCCUCUUUUUGCACCUGGCUUCUUAGGGCAUUCUCAUAUUGCUCAACAAAUUAUUUUAAGCUUGUCUUAGAAUUGACAUAACCAUCGAACAAUGCAUUCAUGCUUUCACUUCUUUGAGUCAAAAACAUUCCCGCCAGAAAGUAUAUCUUAAAAAUGUUGGGACCCAAUGACUCCUUUCAUUGUAUAAACCAGUCAACCAAUCAUUUGUUUCAAGUUUAAACUUUUCAAUGAAUCUGCUCCAAUUUUCUUCAAAUCCUUCACAAGUCAAAGAAUCAUAAACCACUUUUUGCAUUGUAUACUUAAUUGAUUCAUAUUCAUUACAACCUCGUAAUUUUUUAGGUAACUUCUUCAUCAUAUGCCAUAAGCACCACCGAUGAAGUGUGUUAGGAAAGACAUUUUCAAUAGCCCUUUUCAUUGCUUUGUCCUGAUCAUUGAUUAUUGUGGUAGGAGCGCGACCAUUCUUACAUGCAAGCCAAGAUUUAAAAAGCCAAGUAAACGACUCAACAUCUUCACUUAAAAUCAAUCCACAUCCUAAAAGUGUACACUGACCAUGAUGAUUCACUCAACAAAUGGAGCAAAGGGCAUGUCAUACUUAUUAGUCAAGUAUGUUAUGUCAAAUGUAAUGGCAUUUCCGAAUUACACAUACGCUUCCCUACUCCUAGCGUCUGCCCAAAAUACAUUCCUUAGCCUCCCUUCCUUAUCUAAAUCCAUCAAUAAAAGAAAAACAUUAUUAUCUUGCAUUUUAAGAAAGUAGUUCUGAACUUCCAUAGCAUCCCCAUCACCCAGCCUUAAUCAUCUCAUUUUCUCAAUAUGAUUAUAACAGUCUUUCUCUAAAAAUGGAACAUUCUCAUGACCACCAGCUUCAACCAAAAAUGAACUAAAGUUUUUAUUUGGUCUAAUACCCGCCCUAUCAUUAACUUCAAGUCUCCUUUUAACGUACAUCCUUAUAACCCAAUUCUUCUUAUAAAAUCUAGAUUUUUUUGGGCUCAAAGCAUGAUUGUGAUCAAGGGUUAUUUGUGAGGCUAGCCACUUACCAUCAAGGUAUAAUACAAUCCUAAUCUUAGCUUUACAUCCUGUUUUACUAAUUGGAGGUUCGAGAGCAUGAAAGAACCACACAAUUAACCUCCCCAUCAUCACCCUUUUUCGAAUAUUUUUCUUCAUUAGGAACCCUUGUUUGUUAGCAUGUAUAAUGUAGUAUUCUACACAAGCAUCAAUACUGUAAAAUUUCAUUGCUAUUUCCGGAUCUUUUAUCUCAUUUAUAGCUACUGCACUCUUGACACACUCAUCAAAUUCUAAAUUAUCAUUCAUAUCAUUCUCCUCAAUGUGUUUAUUCAUCUUUGUACUUAAAGAUAUAUUCAAUGAUUCUGUUUCCAUUUGUGCCCAAAAAAACCUAUACAGAAAAAAAACAAAAACAAAACACUUAAUCCAAAAUUAUAACCUUUUCUUUGUAAUGUUUUUUUGAACCAUGUAUGGAAAGGGUAAGAUGAUAUAAAUUAAAAGAGAGAAUGUUUUUGUUUGAACCAUGUUUUUUGAUAUCAAUUAAUCCAUUUGUGCACAAAAUUAAACCUAGAUCCAAAUCUCAAGAAAGAAAAAGUGUUACCUGAGAUGGAGAUCGUCGAACUUGGAAGGGAGGACGGAAUGCCCGAUAUCGCUAGGAUGGAGAGAGAGGAAUAAAUUUUGUAGUAGAUGUUUGGGAUGGGCGGACGAUUAUAUUUUGCAAGAAUAUUUUAGCAGGAUGAAGCCUCUGGUGGUGUCUUUCAUACUUAUUUCUUUUGAUAGUUUUGGAAGAUGACUUUUUCUUCUCUUUGGGGGACCCACGGUCUAAUUUGGUUGUCCAAUAUUUCUGUCCGCUUAGACUUAUUGUUCAGGGUAAAGACAUUAACCGUGCAUGUGGAAGUCAAAGGGAAUGGUUAUGGGCCAUAAGCCAAUGUCCACAUUUUAGCGUAAAGACAUUGACCCGGCCAGUCCAAAAAAUCAGACAUAACGUCCAUGCAUGGACCCUAAGUUAUUGUAACACGUAAGGAGUAUUUUGUCAUUAUAAAAAUUUGAACUUCCACCCUCUUGGUACAUAACAAGUGGGAUAACUAGGGGAACUCAUCGGUAAAAAAACUAAAUCGGUAUCGAUCCGAAAGUAUCAAAAAAAAUAAGAAUCGGUACCAAGGUUUGUUGGUCCAUUUGAGAUUCUUGACCGAAUAGGAAAUGUGGCCUAUAGACUUGCAUUACCUCCAAGCAUGUCUCGUGUUCAUAAUGUUUUUCAUAUAUCUAUGCUUUGUAAAUAUGUGAAAGACUCGAACCACAUUAUUGCGUUAGAAACAGACGAGAUAGCCGAAGAUUUAACGUACGAGGAGGUACCUGUUAAGAUCUUGGAUAGGAAAGAGCAUGUUCUACGCACCAAGGUUAUACCACAAGUUAAGGUUUUGUGGAGGAACCAUGCUAUUGAGGAAAUGACCUGGGAGUUGGAAUCAGAAAUAAAAGCGAGGUACCCUCACCUUUUCGAAACACCAGGUACGUACGUCAAUUUCGAGGAUGGAAUUUUAUAAGGAGGGGAGGUUGUAAGACCCCAACUUAUUAUAAAUAAAAUUGAAUUUUCUCUAUUCAUUAUUCUAAAUUAAUAAGGUGUUAAUUUGAUAUAAUACUUUGGUUAUGGGUGAAAUGUGCAAAUUUUACAAAAUAAGCAAGUGGUUAUAAAAUAUUCCCUUUGUCGGGAAAUAUUCAUUUGGUCGUGGAAUAUUCUUUUUGUCGGGAAUAUCCGUAUGACGGCGCAAUCAAUUAUGGGCCCCAUAACGGAAUAACUGUCGGAUGAAGAAAAUGACAAAGUUUGAGUUUUAUAGAUAACAACGUAAUUGUUACCGUUAACACUAUUGGAAUACCUGGUGGUUAAAAUACAGUAAUACGCGUGGUUGUACAAUAGCACACGAUAUUGCACAGUAUUAUUGAAUUAUUGAUUCGUACAUAAGAAGGCACUACUCAAUAAUUGUUACAGUAGUUACUGUUCAAUAUUUUAUUUUAUUGAUUCAAUAAUUGUUGCGUUGAUAUUUUAUAUUAUUGUUAUUUCAAUAAUUGUCACUGCAUGGUAUUUUCCAUUAUUAGAUUAAUAAUUCAUAUUAUUUGAAUAAUAUUAUUAUAUAGCAUUAUUGGCAAUGUCUAGAAAGUUCUGUCAAGGAGAGGUUUGGUCACCUAAUUGCGCGCCAGUAAGGAGAAAUCCUUAUCGAAAAGCCCCCUCUUUCCUAGGAACGGCCUGGUUGUCAUAAUUGUGAUUCUGUAAUAUUAUUUGUGAAUAAUUAAUUAUUGAUUUAUAUGAUAAGAAAAUAUUUAUUUGAUGCGGAUAUAAAUGAUGGAUUUAUUUAUUUUAUGUGGUUAUAAUUGAAGGAAUUAAUGUUGAGGUNNNNNNNNNNNNNNNNNNNNNNNNNNNNNNNNNNNNNNNNNNNNNNNNNNNNNNNNNNNNNNNNNNNNNNNNNNNNNNNNNNNNNNNNNNNNNNNNNNNNNNNNNNNNNNNNNNNNNNNNNNNNNNNNNNNNNNNNNNNNNNNNNNNNNNNNNNNNNNNNNNNNNNNNNNNNNNNNNNNNNNNNNNNNNNNNNNNNNNNNNNNNNNNNNNNNNNNNNNNNNNNNNNNNNNNNNNNNNNNNNNNNNNNNNNNNNNNNNNNNNNNNNNNNNNNNNNNNNNNNNNNNNNNNNNNNNNNNNNNNNNNNNNNNNNNNNNNNNNNNNNNNNNNNNNNNNNNNNNNNNNNNNNNNNNNNNNNNNNNNNNNNNNNNNNNNNNNNNNNNNNNNNNNNNNNNNNNNNNNNNNNNNNNNNNNNNNNNNNNNNNNNNNNNNNNNNNNNNNNNNNNNNNNNNNNNNNNNNNNNNNAUUCGGAAAUUAGGUUUAUAAAUGAUUUUGGUGGAAAAUUCUAGAAUUGAGUGGGCCCCACUUGUGGUUGGUGAAGAAAUGUGCUGAAUUUUAUUUCAAAUGUGGUGGGUGGCAAUAGUAGCAGGUAAAGCCAUCAGGUAGCAGGUCAAGUCAGCUUCAGCGUGCUAACAUUUUCCUUUAAAUAGAGGGCUAAGUUAGAAUUGAAAAUCACACCAGAAACAUAAGCCUUCUCUCUUUCUCUCACUAUAUUAUCGAGCGUAUUUUGUGAGUAUUUAGAUACUUUGAGAGUUGCUGUUCAGUACAAGUUUCAUUCAGCAUCACUUUUGACCUUUCAUUCCGAAGUACUGUUUCUUUGUGGUAAGGGAUGUUAUUUUCUUUUUAAAAUGAUAUUAUUUUCUUCAAUAUCAUUAUGCCAAAAUAUUGGUGAACUUUUUAAUCAAAUUUGGAACUUUUUGUGUUGGGGUUACUAUUCACGUAUACGAUACUAUUCACUGAAAAAUGAAAAUUUUCUUUUUUGUCCAAGAUGUCUAUUAUGGUUACUAUCUUUGAUUGUAUCCAUGCUUUUAUCUUUUUUUUUGAAUUCUGCUUCACAAUUGGUUAUUAUGAAGUAUUAUUGAUCUUGGAUAAACUGUUAUACGAAUCUCUAAUAUUUGUCUUUCUGUCUCACUGGAUUCGUUUUCUUUAAAAUAUUUUUCAUCAUCCUCAGUCUUAAAUGAUGAUAUUAUUGAAUAUCUUUGGCACGUAGUGCAAAGAUGAACAGGUGUUGAGAUGAACAUGACCGACUGGUGAUAUAAAUGAAUAUCUUUGGCCUGUAGUGCAAAGAUGAAUGAUUAACUAAUAAAUAUCUUUGGCCUGUAGUGCAAAGAUGAAUAUUUGAUUAAAGAUGUAUAUUGAUUGAUGUUACAGGGAUAAAAUAUUGAUGAUGGGCUUUUAAAUCUUAGAAGAUAGUAGAAUUCAUUCUCUACGUGACUCUUCUAAUAGAUUGCUGUUUCCGUUGCAUUUGUUGAUCUAAAACUUGUUGUCUAUUAUAUUCUAUAAGAUUUUUCCCUGUUGAAGACUAAUGAUAAUUUGUUGUAUAUUAUCUUAGUCAUAAUAUUCUUUACUGGGCUAGUUGAGCUCACCUUUUUCCUUUUUGUUCCAUUUUUCUUCUCAGGAGGUGAGAACAUAGCAGGAUCGAGUCGGGGUAUGGAGUGAUGGUCCUAGAAAGAUGUUUUAGCAGUCCUCACUAUUUCUAUAAAAUUGUGUAUGAAUAAUUGUAAUGAGGACUUAUUUGAGUGUUGAUAUUGUCUAGAAGACAAUAUUUGUAUUUAAACUCACAGUAUGUGUUGUCGUAUUUUACACGAUAAUUGUAUUAUUGAAGUUGUAGUUUGCUUUCUGUACCAUGUAUUUGGCGACUCAGAAUGGGUGUUAUAUACCUAUUUUGGGGGCGUCACAGUUGGUAUCAAAGCUUAGGGAUAUGGUCUCUGGCGGAGAUUGGGGAAUAGAACUAGGAGGGGAGAGAUUAGUAAAUCCUUCACUAGUGUGUCCUAUCUAAGCUUAUUUGUUGGUCGGUCAUAAUAUAGGGAUAUUAUGUGAUAUGUUAAUUUGUUUAAUUAACCCUUGUUUUAUGGAAGUAUUUAAGAAAGGCUGCUGAGAACGUUAAUAAUGGAGUGUAUGAGACUGUGGAACAACCUUUAGUCACAAACUAGGAGAACAUGCAACAGGAAGAUAAUAUUCCUCUUGUAAACAACACUACCAAGUAAACGAUGAAUGAUGGAAUGUUUAGGAGCUUUUUGCAGUUCAUGAAAAAUCAGACGAGGGAGACUCGUGUACAAAAUACGGGUGGAAGUGAUAGCAACGCGCGAUCUGUCACAGCCAAUCAGUUUAAAGAGUUGGGACCACCAGAUUUCUAGGGACAGCCCGAUCCGAUUAAGGCGGAAACGUGGGUCAAGCAAAUUAUCAAGAUAUUUGAUGUCUUGGGAUGCACGGAGGAAUAAAAGGUUUCAUUCGCCACCUUUAUGUUCCGUGGAGAGGCAGAUUACUGGUGUGAAUCUGUGAAGCGUACCCAGCCAGCCGCACUCAACAUGUCUUGGGAAAGAUUUCAGAAACUGUUCAAUGACAAGUAAUUUCCUGAAAGUAUUCGUCAUAUGAAGGAGGUAGAGUUUAUUAGACUAGAAUAGAACAACAUGACGGUGUCUCAGUACGAGGCGAAGUUCGCGGAGUUAUCCAGGUUUGCACCUCAUUUGGUAGAGAAUGAGGAACGUAUGACGCGAAUGUUUUUGAGAGGUCUAAAACUAGAGAUUCGUAAAUUCCUUAUCUCUCAUAAAUUUUCUCUAUAUACAGAUGUUGUCAACAGGGCUCAAUUAUUAGAGCGAGAUAAUUAGUAUACUCAACCGAGGGACCACAACCAGGGUCAUACCGGUGACAACAAUCAUCAGAGCGAUGAUAACCAUCGAGGAGGGAAAAAUACGGACAAAGGCAGUAACCACUCGGGUGGUAAUCAUGGCCAUGAUAAUAGGAGAGGUGAUUCAAGUGGAAAUUUCAGAAAGAGGAGAUUCAACAAUGACGGGAAGACAUCAGCAGCAACACCAACACCAACAACAAAUUCUAGGGGAUGAGAACGACCGCCAGUUAGAUGUUACAAAUGCGGGAAAGAGGGACAUAUCAGCCCAAACUGCCCACAACAAUCCAAGGUAUGUUAUAACUGUGGAAAGGAAGGUCACAUAGCUCAGGAUUAUUCUAUAGUGAAACCAAGUUCAGCGGGGAUGGUGACUCCAAGGGCUGUCCCGAAUAAGUCGAAAUCAGCGGUUCCUGGAAGAGCGUUUGUCAUGACUGGCCAAAACGUGAGGAACCCGAACGAGGUGAUCACGGGUAAGCUAAUAUUGAAUUCUUGCGAAGUUUAUACCUUACUAGAUACCGGUUCUACCCAUUCUUUUAUCUCUCCUACUUGUGCUCAACGUUUAAACUUGACUCCGGAGAAAUUGGAUUUUAACUUAUCUGUUAAAACUCCGUUGGGUGAAACCUUCGUUACAUCUAUAAUUUAUAAAUCUUGCUUGAUCUAAGUUGGCACUAUCACAUUACCUAUUGAUCUUAUCUCUUUAAAGAUACUUGCUUUUGAUGUGAUUUUAGGAAUUGAUUGGUUAACCACUCAUCAUGCCAAAAUUGAUUAUUUUCGUAAGGUUGUUAGUUUUCAGAUUCCUAACCAACCUGUUAUGCGAAUUUAAGCAACUAAACCACUAAAAUCAGUCACUGUCAUAUCAAGCCACAAAGCUAUUCGUUUAUUAAAAAAUGGAUGUCAAGCUUUCUUAGCCCAUAUUAUGGAUUUGAAUAAAGAUAAGUCAGAUUUGAAUAAUAUUUCUGUUGUUAGAGAAUUUCCUGAUGUAUUUCCUGAAGAACUUCCCGGUCUACCCCCAGAACGUGAUGUUGAAUUCUUUAUUAACCUUGAACCGGCUACAAAACCCAUUUCUAAAACCCCAUAUCGAAUGGCUCCUAUUAAACUUCAGGAGUUAAAAGUCCAACUACAGGAGUUAUUAGACAUCGGUUUCAUUCGUCCUAGUACAUCUCCUUGGGGUGCUCCUGUUUUAUUCGUAAAGAAGAAAGACGGGAGUAUGUGACUUUGUAUUGACUACCGAGAAUUAAACCAUGUCACCAUCAAGAAUAGGUAUCCGCUACCUCGCAUUGAUGACCUGUUUGACCAGUUACAAGGAACACAAUUCUUUUCAAAGAUCGACCUUCGUUCUAGAUACCAUCAGCUGAAGAUUAAAACUGAGGAUAUUCCGAAGACUGCCUUCAGAACUCGGUACGAGCAUUAUGAAUUCUUAGUCAUGUCUUUUGGAUUGACUAAUGCUCCUGCUACUUUCAUGGAUAUGAUGAACCAUGUAUUCAAGGAAUAUUUGGAUCAGUUCGUUGUUGUAUUUAUUGAUGACAUCCUCAUCUAUUCCAAAAGCCGUGAAGAUCAUGAGCACCAUUUGAAGUUGAUACUUGAAAGGCUUUGUGAAAACAAGCUUUGUGCCAAGCUGAAGAAAUGUGAGUUCUGGCUUGAGGAAGUAACAUUCCUUGGGCACGUGGUGUCAAAAUAUGGAGUAUCUGUUGACCCGAUGAAGAUUGAAGCAAUACAAAGUUGGGAGCAACCGAAGUCAGUGACCGAAGUACGCAGCUUCCUGGGCUUAGCUGGUUAUUAUCGGAGAUUCGUGGAAAAAUUUUCUUGAAUUUCUACUCCGUUAACUCAGUUAAAUUGGAAAGAUACAAAAUUCGUAUGGAGCGAGGAAUGCGAGAAGAGUUUCCAAGAGCUCAAGAGGAGACUCAUUUUGGCACCUGUUCUGUCAAUACCAUCUGGUUCGGAUGGAUUUGUUAUCUACAGCGAUGCUUCAGGCAAAGGGUUAGGAUGUGUUCUCAUGCAACAUGGGAAAGUCAUAGCCUAUGCCUCGCGAUAACUCAAAGAAUAUGAGAGGAAUUAUCCUACUCAUGAUCUAGAGUUGGCAGCAGUCAUUUUUGCGUUGAAAAUCUGGAGACACUACCUGUAUGGGGAGAAAAUGGAGAUCUAUAUGGAUCAUAAAAGCCUCAAAUACUUCUUCACCCAAAAAGAACCAUGCAGCAGCGACGUUGGCUUGAGCUGUUGAAAGAUUACGAUCACACUAUUCAAUACCAUCUUGGAAAAGCGAACGUAGUAGCUGACGCAUUGAGUAGAAGAUCAUAUGCGAGUACGAGUGCGAUAUUUUCAACGCAAAGUCCCAUUUUAUAUGAUUUUCAAAGGAUGGAGAUAGAAUUAAAGACUCCAGGGACCCACGUGAUGAUGGCAAAUAUACGAGUAGAACCGACUUUAAUCGAUAAAGUUAAAGCUGCUCAAGUUACGGACCUGGGGCUGAUGCGUAUGAAGAAGAAAGUGCAAGAAGGUGCUAUUCCAGAAGCAAGAAUCGAUGAAGAAGGAAUACUUUGAUUCAACUCUAGACUUUGCGUUCCUAACAAUUUUGACUUGAAGCAUAUAAUCAUGAUGGAGGCACACAACACCCCGUUUGCAAUACAUUUUGGUGGAACAAUAUGAAGAGAGAGAUCGCGGAGUUUAUCUCGAGGUGUUUAACUUGUCAACGUGUAAAGGCAGAGCAUCAAGUGCCAAAAGGUCCAUUGCAACCACUUGAGAUUCCGAAAUGGAAGUGGGAACACCUUACCAUGGAUUUUGUUACGGGUCUUCCCAAUGUUUCUCAAGGUAUAGAUGCGAUUUGGGUUAUUGUUAAUAGAUUAACCAAGUCUGCUCAUUUCUUGCCUAUAUGUGAAACUUAUUCCCUUGAACGUCUUGCUCGUAUGUACUUGAAUAAGAUUGUGAGAUUGCAUGGCAUGCCAGUAUCCAUAGUUUCGAAUUGUGACCCAAGAUUUACUUCACGAUUUUGGGUUAGCUUGCAGAAAGCUAUGGGCACGGAUUUAUGAUUCAGUUCGGCAUACCAUCCUCAAACGGACGGACAAUCAUAGAGGACUAUUCAAACUCUUGAAGAUCUAUUAAGACUAUGUGUCCUAGACUUCAAAGGGAGUUGGGAUAAGUAUUUACCAUUAGUGAAAUUCUCCUACAAUAACAGUUAUCAAGCAAGUAUAAGCAUGGCUCCAUUUGAGGCGUUGUAUGGACGAAAGUGUCGUUCUCCAGUAUGCUGGGAUGAGGUGGGUGAAGCAACUUUGUUGGGACUAGAGUUGGUACGCAUGAAUACAGAAAAGAUCCAAAUGAUUCGACAACGUAUACAAAUGACACAGGAUCGACAAAAGAGUUAUGCGGAUCUUCAUUGAAAUGACGUGGAAUUUAGUAUUGGGGAUCAUGUAUUGUUACGUGUUGCUCCAUGGAAGGGAGUUGCAAGAUUUGGGAAGAGAGGAAAGCUCAAUCCAAGGUUUGUUGGUCCAUUUGAAAUUCUUGACCGAAUAGGAAAUGUGGCCUAUAGACUCGCAUUACCUCCAAGCAUGUCUGGUGUUCAUAAUGUUUUUCAUAUAUCUAUGCUUCAUAAAUAUGUGAAAGACCUGAACCACACUAUUGCGUUAGAACCAGACGAGAUAGCCGAAGAUUUAACGUACGAGGAGGUACCUGUUAAGAUCUUGGAUAGAAAAGAGCAUGUUCUACGCACCAAGGUUAUACCACAAGUUAAGGUUUUGUGGAUGAACCAUGCUAUUGAGGAAAUGACCUGGGAGUUGGAAUCAGAAAUGAAAGCGAGGUACCCUCACCUUUUUGAAACACCAGGUACGUACGUCAAUUUCGAGGAUGAAAUUUUAUAAGGAGGGGAGGUUGUAAGACCCCAACUUAUUAUAAAUAAAAUUGAAUUUUCUCUAUUCAUUAUUCUAAAUUAAUAAGGUGUUAAUUUGAUAUAAUACUUUGGUUAUGGGUAAAAUGUGCAAAUUUUACAAAAUAAGCAAGUGGUUAUAAAAUAUUCCUUUUGUCGGGGAAUAUUCGUUUGGUCGUGGAAUAUUCUUUUUGUCAGGAAUAUCCGUAUGACGGCGCAAUCAAUUAUGGGCCCCAUAACGGAAUAACUGUCGGAUGAAGAAAACGACAAAAUUUGAGUUUUAUAGAUAAUAACAUAAUUGUUACCGUUAACACUAUUGGAAUACCUGGUGGUUAAAAUACAGUAAUACGUGUGGUUGCACAAUAGCACACGGUAUUGCACAAUAUUAUUGAAUUAUUGAUUCGUACGUAAGAAGGCACUACUCAAUAAUUGUUACAAUAGUUACUGUUCAAUAUUUUAUUUUAUUGAUUCAAUAAUUGUUGCGUUGAUAUUUUAUAUUAUUGUUAUUUCAAUAAUUGUCACUGCACAAUAUUUCCCAUUAUUAGAUCAAUAAUUCAUAUUAUUUGAAUAAUAUUAUUAGAUAGCAUUAUUGGUAAUGUCUAGAAAGUUCCGUCAAGGAGAGGUUUGGUCACCUAAUUGCGCGCCAGUAAGAAGAAAUCCUUAUCGAAAAGCCCCCUCUUUCCUGGGAACGACCUAGUUAUCAUAAUUGUGAUUCUGUAAUAUUAUUUGUGAAUAAUUAAUUAUUGAUUUAUAUGAUAAGAAAAUAUUUAUUUGAUGCGGAUAUAAAUGAUGGAUUUAUUUAUGUGGUUAUAAUUGAAGGAAUUAAUUUUGAGGUGUUUUAUCAGUAUUUUUAUCGGAAUGGAGGUAUUAAAAAUCAAAUCAGUAUUUUUACGAUAUAUUGUGUGAGUUAUAAUUUUUAAUCUGACCAUUGGAUCGUUGUGAUUUUUGGAUAUGUUAUACAUAUAUAAGUUGAGUACAUGUCCACAAAUUUUGAACCGUUAAAAAUGAACAAAUGACUUGUUAUGAAUUUUAAGAGGUGACUGAUACGAAAAUUAGGUUUAUAAAUGAUUUUGGUGGAAAAUUCUAGAAUUUAGUGGGCCCCACUUGUGGUUUGUGAAGAAAUGUGCUGAAUUUUAUUUCAAAUGUGGUGGGUGGCAAUAGUAGCAGGUAAAGCCAUCGGGUAGUAGGUCAAGUCUGCUUUGGCGUGCUAACAUUUUCCUAUAAAUAGAGGGCUAAGUUAGAAUUGAAAAUCACACCAGAAACAUAAGCUUUCUCUCUUUCUCUCUCUAUAUUAUCGAGCGUAUUUUGUGAGUAUUUAGAUACUUUGAGAGUUGCUGUUCAGUACAAGUUUCAUUCAGCAUCACUUCCGACCUUUCAUUCCGAAGUACUGUUUCUUUGAGGUAAGAGAUGUUAUUUUCUUCUUAAAAUGAUAUUAUUUUCUUCAAUAUCAUUAUGCCGAAAUAUUGGUGAACUUUUUAAUCAAAUUUGAAACUUUUUGUGUUGGGGUUAUUAUUCACAUAUACGACACUAUUCACGAAUACGGCACUAUUCAUCGAAAAAUGAAAAUUUUCCUUUUUGUCCAAGAUGUCUAUUAUGGUUACUAUCUUUGACUGUAUCCAUGAUUUGAUCUUUAUUUUUGAAUUCUGCUUCACAAUUGGUUAUUAUGAAGUAUUAUUGAUCUUGGAUAAACUGUUAUAUGAAUCUCUAAUAUUUGUCUUUCUGUCUCACUGGAUUCAUUUUCUUUAAAAUAUUUUUCAUCAUCCUCAGUCUUAAAUGAUGAUAUUAUUGAAUAUCUUUGGCCCGUAGUGCAAAUAUGAACAGGUGUUGAGAUGAACAUGACCGACUAGUGAUAUAAAUGAAUAUCUUUGGCCUAUAGUGCAAAGAUGAAUGAUUAACUGAUGAAUAUAUUUGGCCUGUAGUGCAAAGAUGAAUAUUUGAUUAAAGAUGUAUAUUGAUUGAUGUUACAGGGAUAAAAUAUUGAUGAUGGACUUUUAAAUCUUAGAAGAUAGUAGAAUUCAUUCUCUACUGACUCUUCUAAUGGAUUGAUGUUUUCGCUGCAUUUGUUGAUCUAAAACUUGUUAUCUAUUAUAUUCUAUCAGAUUUUUCCCUGUUGAAGACUAAUGAUAAUUUGUUGUAUAUUAUCUUAGUCAUAAUAUUCUUUACUGGGCUAGUUGAGCUCACUCUUUUCCUUUUUGUUCCAUUUUUCUUCUCAGGAGGUGAGAACAUAACAGGAUUGAGUCGGGGUAUGGAGUGAUGGUCCUAGAAAGAUGUUUUAGCAGUCCUCACUAUUUCUGUAAAAUAGUGUAUGAAUAAUUGUAAUGAGGACUUAUUUUAGUGUUGAUAUUGUCUAGAAGACAAUAUUUGUAUUUAAACUCAGUAUGUGUUGUCGUAUUUUGCACGACAAUUGUAUUAUUGAAGUUGUAGUUUGCUUUCUGUACCAUGUAUUUGGCGACUCAAAAUGGGUGUUGUAUACCUAUUUUGGGGGCAUCACAUUUUCUGUAUUUAGGUUUUUACCAAAUUCAAAAAAUUCCUUAGCGCUAUCGGUAUCGAAAAGUGUUAAAUUAAAAUACAAAAAAAUCGGUACCAAAAAAACCGGUAUCGGUAUCAAUCGGUUCAAUAAAAAAUUGAAAAAACCGAAUAUUUUGAGCAUCUCUUGGGAUAACCAUUAGGCCAAGGCCUUAGGUAUUGUAGUGGGAGUAUAAUCUCCUUAAUACUGGCACUUGCAUGCAAUUUUCUCCUAUCCUCGACUUUUGAGGUCUUAAUUGACUUGACAAUUGAGAAAUUAAUGUUAUAUUUGUUUGCAAGGAUUGUACUUGAGAUUAAACUAUUAAUCCCAAGUCUCUUGUUUGUUUUUAAAAAUAAGCUUGAGACUAUUAGUCUCAGAACAAUAAAAUAACUUAAAAGGGGGACUAUUUAAUACCAUGUCCUGUUGAUUUAUAUUAUUUAUGUUUUUAAUGAUGACAAUAUAAUUGAGUUUGUAUUUAGUAAUGGAUUUUAUUUUAAUUGCUUGGGUUGUUUAAAUUGUUAAUUAAUUUAAUUUUGUGUAAGCAUCUUAAGGGAUUCUGUUCAUAAAUAAAAUUCUUGUUUGGCCCAAGUUGGUUAAAUGUGUUAUUAGAUUUCAAGGUAUUAAUUACUGUUGAGGAUUUCUUUAAAUAUAGAUUGUAAGACCCCGAAUUUUAUGAAAUCAAAGUAUCCAAUUUUCUUAUAAUUAUUAUUCUAUUUAAUAAAUGGUUUAAUUGAUAAAAGGUUAAAGUUAAGGGUGAUAUUUGAAAAUUUUGCAAAGAAAGCAAGUUGAUAUAAAAUAUUCGUUGUGUUCGGGAAUAUUCGUUUGGUCGGAGAAUAUUCUUUUUUGUCAGGGAAUAUCCGUACGAUGACACCAUCAUUGGUGGACCCCAUAACAGAAUAACUGUCGGAGUAUUUUAUAAAAAUAACAACGAAAGUUUUACAAUUAACUGUUAAAAUACCAAGUGGUAAAAAUAUAAUAAUACACGUGGUUGCAUAGUAGCACACGGUAUUGAUUAUUGAUGCUUACGUAAGAAGCCACUCAAUUUACUCAAUAAUUGCUACAGUAAUUGCUGUAUAGUAUCUCACGUUAUUUGAUUCAAUUAUUGUCACAGUAACAUCUACAUAAUAUUUUAUAUUAUUAAAUUAAUAAUUGAGAUGACAAAAUUAUUCAUAUUAUUAUUUACAAUAUUAACGAUGUCUAGAAAAUUCUGUUGAAGAAAGGGGUUUGAUCACCUAAUUGCGCGCUAAUAGGGAAAAAUCCUUAUCGAAAAGCCCUCUCUUUCCUGGGAAUGAUCUGGUUGUUAAAUAUUGUGAGUUAUAAUAUUAAUGAUGAAUAAUUGUUAAUAGAUUAAAAAUGUGUUUAUUAAAGAUAAAUGAUUUGUGGUAAAUAUUUAUUAAAUUUUUAAUAUAAAUAAAGGGAUUUGUUAUGAGGCGUUUGUUGUAAGUUUGACUUAGUAUUCCAUAGGAAGAUUUACUAAUUUUAUGGACCCUCGAUGGUGGUUUAAAUAGAUAACCAAUCUGGACCAUUGAUGGUGGUUUUAAUAGUUAAUCAAUCUGGACCAUUGAUGGUGGUUGUAAUAGUAAAUCAAUCUGGACCAUUGAUGGUGGUUGUAAUAGUAAAUCAAUCUGGACCAUUGAUAGUGGUUUUAAUAGUAAAUCAAUCUGGACCGUCGGUGGUGGUUUAAAAGUAAAUCAAUCUGGACCGUCAGUGGUUGUUUUAAAAGUAAUCAAAUAUGGACCGUUGGUGGUGGUUUUAAAAGUAAAUCAAUCUGGACCGUCGGUUGUGGUUUUAAUAGUAAUCAAUAUGGACCGUCUGUUCUAAUAGUAAAUCAAUCUGGACCGUCGGUUGUGGUUUUAAUAGUAAUCAAUAUGGACCGUCUGUUCUAAUAGUAAAUCAAUCUGGACCGUUCGUGAAUCAGUUACUAUUUAGUCUAUUCUCCUAUAAAUAGAAGGUUAAUUCUUCUUUCAUUCUCGCCAAUUCACUGAGAUUCACAAGAGACACUAUAAAGAGAGAAACUAUAGAGAGGAAGAAGAAGAGUAUUCUGCUACUUCACUAUUGUAGUAUCUAGUCUUCUACUAAGGUAAGAAGUAUUAUUUCUUUCGUAUUCUUAAAGAAUACUAUUUUUCGUAUUCAUCCUUUAAUAUGUCGGAAUAACCUGUCUACGCGGAUUACGUACCUCAUAACAGGUGAAAAUCCAUUUACAGUUUUGUAUGUUAUUUCUUUACAUAUUCUUAAAUCUAAACUUACUAUGGUAAGUAUUGCUUCUAUAAACCCUGAAAUUAGUGAAAUAUGCUUGAGUUUUGCGCUUCAUCCAUUAUCUUUUCAUUAGAAUAUUUAUAUGAACUUUCUUAUUAAAUAUCAAUAUUGUUACUCGGGGUACUAUUCACGGGUUACUAUUCACUCAGUUACUAUUCACUCAAAUAUUAUUCACUCGGGUAUUCGGGGCACUUUUCAUGCUGAAGUAUUAUUCACGUGGUACUAUUCUCAAAGUACUAUUCACGGGGUACUAUUCACGACAAAAAUUAAUUUCUUUUCUGUCCAAAAUUAUUUUUGAUACAUGAAUAUUAUUCUUGAAUUUUACUCCACAAAGCAGUAUCAUGUUGACAAUUUGGAUAUUUUUAAACUCUAGAUAAAUUUAAAAUCUUUAAUAUUUAUCCUUGAUUUCAUUUAAUUAAUGCUUAUAUCAUUGUCAUCAUCCUCAUGCUUAUAUUGUGAUGAAAGUCAUCAUCGGCCAAGGGUGCAAAGAUGAACUGUUGAUUGGUAGGAUUAUGACUAGGGAUCAUUCGGUAUAAUCAUGACCCGUAAUGUUACAAAUGAUGUGGUAAAAGUCCUCAUUGGCCCGUAGUGCAUUGAUGGACAAUUGUUGGUAUGAUUAUGACCAGGGAUUAUUCGGUAUAAUCAUGACCAUUGGUGAAAACAUGAAUAUCCUUGGCUCGUAGUGCAUGGAUAAUUCGUGGUCGUGAUACUAAUGAAUAUCCUUAGCCGUAGUGCAAGGAUGAUUCGAUGAUACAUGUGGAUUAUUUAUUAAGCCGAGUCUCAACAACAAAAUUAAUGAUAAACUUUUUAAAUCAUAGAAGAUAGUAGAUAUCAUGCUCUACUUGACUCUUCUAAUGGAUUGUUUGUUCCGCUGCAGUUGUUGAUCUAAAACUUGUUGUCUAUUAUAUUCUAUCAGUUGUUAUACUGUUGAAGGCUAACGAUAAUUUAUUCUGCAUUAUCUUAGUCAUAAUAUUUCUUACUGGACUAGUUGAGCUCACCCUUUUCUUUCAUUGUUCUCUUUAGGAAAUGAGAAUAUAUAGUUGGGACUAAUCAAGGAAUGGAGUGAUGGUUUGAGAUGGUGGCUAUCGUAGUCCUCACUAUUUUUAUAAAAUAGUGUGAUAAUAAUUGUAAUGAGGACUCCAUUGAGUGUGGAUAUUGUCUAGAAGACAUUAUUCUUGUUUAAACUCUUAGCUAUGUUUUGUCGUAUUUUACACGACAGUUGUAUAAUUAAGUUGUAGUUGUAUUCUGUAUCAUGUAUCUGGCGACCCAAGAUGGGUGAUGUAUACCUAUUUUGGGGACUUCACAUAUAUUGCUUAGAUAUGCUAUUUAAGUAAGUGUCUUUUUAAAUGAAACUGUAUUGACUAAGCAAAAUAUGUUGGACUCCUCUCUUUUAUUUUAGCUAUCUUAGUUUAACUGGGAUUUCACAUCUAUUUGACUGAUGCAUAUUAUAUCCGCUGGCCUCUAUUUAAUUACUGAAAUCCUAUCUUUAUUCCAACUGUGAUUUGAGAUAUUUAUUUUAACUUCUUAUUUGUAUCCGUUGGUGCUAAUCAGAAGCUAAUAUAUCAAUUUAGGAUAUAUUGCUAAUCAAAAUAUAGCCGUUAGGUCCUUCUUGUUAUAUAUACUAUCUUUUCCUACUAAAACAUGAAAACAAGGAAGCAUAUAUCAGUGAAGAGAAACUCAAAGCAAAGAUCAGGCUUACUCGUUAUAUAUUUCCAUCGAGAGCUAUCAUUGUUUAUUACAACAAGUCUGUGUUAUACUAUUAGUCUUUUAUUGGCUAGAAAAUCACAACAGAAUGUAUCCAAAAUACUUUGUAACAAAUUUUGAGUUCAAGUAGUGUUUAGCUUGGUCAUUCUAAUAGUGGAUAGGGUCUGUUCAAAGAGAGCUUUCAAGGUUGUAGAGGUGCAAAGUAGCAGAAGUCCAAAAGGGGCAGAGGUGUCCAUCGCAGUAGAAAGUUUUAUUUGAACAGAGAGUUCUUUUUAUUGUAUUUAAUUGAGUUUUAAAAUUAAUAAAAAGUCUCCAAAUAUAGGUUGGUAUUGGGCGUGGAUUAGGCUACUAGACUAUAUGAUAAGGGUUGUAACACGUAAAAAAUCAUUAUGUCCGCGGUUGGUUAUUUCUUGUGGUUUGAGUAUCACUUUGCAUCUAAAUACAUCAACAUAAAAGUAGUUUGCUGAUAGAGUAAAGUGUAUUAAUCCAGACACUAAUUCACACAUGUUUCAUCUGUCUGCAUUAUAACUAAAAUAUAAUUUGUUCUAGUCCAGACAUUAUCUUUCUUUGUUUUUUCAUGUCUGCAUUAUAAGAAAAGUAGAAUUUAUUCUAAUUAAAACAAACACUAUAAAACACUAGUUCCACCUGUCUAUUUUAGUACUUUAAUAAGAGAUUAAAAAUUAGUCGUUGUUAAACACGUUAUAGUUUAGACACCUAUUCACCCCCCUCUAGGUGUGUACAUACACAAAAUUACAUGUCUAACUAGGUAUUGUAAUCCCUACCAUUUGGGACUAAAAAAUUGUUAACAAAGUAAUCUUUUACUUUGUUUUAAUCUACUCUCUUUUAAGAAUUUCCAAAACGACGUAAUUUUAAUAAAUGAGUUCUAUUUAAGGAGCUAGGAACGCUAGAUAAGGUAAGGUGAGUGCUCUUAAUCCUUUCUCUACCUAUAAAAGAAGGAUCAAGAGCACUCCCCUUAUCUAACACUCCUCCUUAAAUAACACUACUUUAUUAAAACUGCAUCGUUUUGGAGAUUCUUUUAAAAAAUAAGUGGGGCCGCGGGUGGAAUUUUUAUAAAUAAAAGAAAAGCAAGCAGGACCACUCUCUUUUAAGAAUCUCCAAAAUGUCAUAACUUUAAUAAAUGAGUGCUAUUUUAAGGAGGAGUGCUAGAUAAGUGAAGUGUUCUUGAUCCUUCCUCUACCUAUAGAGAAAGGAUCAAGAGCACUCCCCUUAUCUAGCACUCCUCCUUAAAUAGUACUCAUUUAUUAAAACUACAUCAUUUUGGAGAUUCUUUUAAAAAAUAAGUGGGGCCGUGGGUGACAUUUUUGUAAAUAAAAGAAAAACAAGUGAGACCACUCUAUUUUAAGAAUCUUCAAAACGAUGUAGUUUUAAUAAAUGAGUGCUAGAUAAGUGGAGUGCUCUUUUUACUUCUUCUACCUAUAGAGAAAGGAUCAAGAGCACUCCCCUUAUCUAGCACUGUUCCUUAAAUAACAUUUCUUUAUUAAAACUAUGUCGUUUUGGAGAUUACUUUAAAAAACAAGUGGGGCCGCGGGUGGCAUUUUUAUAAAUAAAAGAAAAGCAAGCUGGACCACUCUCUUUUAAGAAUCUCCAAAAUGACAUAGUUUUAAUAAAUAAGUGCUAUUUAAGGAGAAGUGCUAGAUAAGUGGAGUGCUCUUGAUCCUUCCUCUACCUACAGAGAAAGGAUCAAGAGCACUCCCCUUAUCUAGCACUCUUUAAAUAUAAUUCCUUUAUAAAAACUACGUCAUUUUAGAAAUUCUUUUAAAAACAAGUGGCGUCGCGGGUGGUAUUUUUGUAAAUAAAAGAAAAGCAAGCGGGACCACUCUCUUUUAAGAAUUUUCAAAAUGACGUAGUUUUAAUAAAUGAGUGUUAUUUAAGGAGGAGUGCUAGAUAAGUGGAAUGCUCUUGAUCCUUCCUCUCUCUCUCUCUCUAUAUAUAUAUAUAUAUAAUUUUUUAUCUUAUAUAUAAUCGAAUUAAUAUAUAUAAUUGAAUUAAUAUUAUGUAAUAUGAUAUUUCGUUGCAAAUGAAAUCAUAACAAAUUUUGUUGCACAUGAAAAGUAAACGAUAACGUAUGGUGUCGUUGCUAAUUGACAAUAACUUUUGUUGCUCUCUAAAAAUAAUCAUCAUCGAAUAGUAUCGUUGGUAAUUCAUCAUAAUUAUCCAUAAAAAAACCAACGGCAACGCAAAAUUUCGUUGCAAAUUAAUAUAUAACUGAUUUAUUUUGUACAUUUAGUAACAAACAUCGUUGCCAAAAAGUAUACAAUUAGCAACGAAAACCAAUUAAGGCAACAAUUUCUAUAUUGUUCAGUAACGUCAAACUUCGUUGGCAAAUGUGUAUCAAAUGCAAUGAAUUUUAUCUUCGUUGGAAAAUAAAAAGAUUCUUUUCGUUGCCAAUUAGGCAUAUUUUGUAAUGAAAAUUGUUUUUCAGUAACAAUUUCUUAAUAAAUUUGCUACAAAAUAUUUCGUUGCUAAAUGAUUUAUGAUUUUACACGAAAACAAAAUUUCGUUGCGAAAUAUAUUACUUUCUACAACGAAAAAAAAAUUCGUUGCUAGACAAUUAGCAACGCUCAUUGCGCAACGAAAUGUCCAACGACUGAAAAAUCGUUGCAAAUGGCAUUUGGCAACGAAAUUUUGAACAUUUAACAACGAAAACUGUUUGUUGCAAAAUCACCAUUUUUUGUAGUGGUUGAUCAUCUCUUUGGUGCUUCCUAAGCUUUGUCGUUUCAGCUCGAACUCUUCUAAUUAUCAACAACUACUUAUGAGCAUGGCUGAUGUGCUACUAAGCUAUUCAAUUAAGAUAUAUAUAUUUUAUGCUUAGCAGCCUUAAACACUUUUUGGGAUGUAGACUUUUGCUCUAAGUCUUUAACUGGCUGGCUCAUCCGCUCUAAUUUAUAAAAUUAUUAUUGUCUUCUUGAAAGUAAAAUUGAAAUAUUUUCAUUCUUAGAAUUCAUGUAGAUUCAGUUUAAUUUUAGUCAAUAAAUGACUAAUAUAUUAAAUUAACGAAAAAUUAGUAUUACAAAUUCUAAAAUUUAUUGAUUUAUACUUUUAAUCUAAUAUAUAUUAAUUUGGUAUUUAAAAAUAUUUUAAAUUAAUUUUUUAAAAAUUAAUAAAAAUAUUAUAAAUUGAAACGGAAUGAGUAUAAAAAAAGAAAUAAAAUAAUAAAUAAACUCCUAUAAAAAUCAACAACCUUUGGUAUUUAGAUGUUUUCAUCAUUGAAUGUUUGUGAAAUAAUACUGCACCAAUUCACCACAUGUAUGAGUAACACCAAACCAAUAAUAUAGUGUCGCGUCAUUGCCAAGGCAAGCCAAAUUACCCAUUCUUUCUAUCAAUCUAGGGGAAAUUAAAUUAAUUAUAAAAAUUCAUCACAAACUUUGCUCGUAAUAUAUAGAUAUAGAAGAAGGAUCAAGAGCACUUCACUUAUCUAGCACUCCUCUUUAAAUAGCACUCAUUUAUUAAAACUGUUUUGGAGAUUCGUAAAAGAAAGUGAUCCCGCUUGCUUUUUUUUUAUUUACAAAAAUGUCACCCGCGGCCCUACUUGUUUUUUAAAAGAAUAUUCAAAACGACAUAGUUUUAAUAAAGAAAUGCUAUUUAAGGUGGAGUGUUAGAUAAGGGGAAUGCUCUUGAUCAUUUCUCUCUCUCUCUCUCUCUCUCUCUCUAUAUAUAUAUAUAUAUAUAUAUAUAUAUAUAUAUAUAUAUAUAUAUAUAUAUAUAAAUUUCGUUGCACAUGACCAAAUUAAUAUUAUGUAAUAUGAUCUUAUUAUUUGAUUAUGUCCUUAUAAAAUUAUACGACUAAUUCUUGUUUCUUUAUAAAAUUACGAUACUAAUUUCAAUUUCUAAUUUAGAUUGAUAAAUAAUUUAAGUUGACUUAAAGUAGAAAAAGUCAAAAGUGAAACCAAAAAAAGGAGAAUAAACCAAAUUGUAUAUUUAAUUAUAGUAUAAAUAGGUAGAUAGAUAGAUAAAUUACAUAAUUUAAAAAUAAUAACAAUUUAGAAAUGUUAACAAAUUUAGACACAUAACAUGAUUUAUAAUAGCAUCUUCACCCAUGCAAAACAAGGGAUUUUACUAUAAAGUUAUGAUAUUAUAAAAAAAGUUAUAAAUAUAUUAUUAGGUUUAUUAGGUAAAAUAAUUCUAAUAACUAAAUAAUCUAUUAUUAUAUAUACUAAAAUACAGUACAUGAUUAACCUAAUAAAUAUUCAAAUCCUACAAAACUAUCCAGCUAACCUAAUAAAUGAGGAUGAAAACAAAUCCUAAUUCAUUCCCCUAAAUUUUAGAUUUAUAAUCUCCUAAAUCACUACAAAUCUAAACUGUUUUGAUAAUAUCAAAUAUUUUGAUAUUAUCCUUUGUAAUUUAAUUAUUAUUUAAUAAAAUCACUACUUUAUGCUAUUAUUAAUUUUUUGGAUUUAUAAUCUUCUAAACCACUAAGAAUCUAAACAGUUAAUAUCAUAAUGUCAUUCUCUUAAUUUUUUAAAUUUAUAAUCCCUAAAUCACUAAAAAUCUAAACUGUUUUGAUAAUAUCAACUGUUUUGAUAUUAUCCUUUGUAAUUUAAUUAUUAUUUAAUAAAAUCACUACUUUAUCUCAACACUAUCCCCUACAAUAUAUAUUCAUCUAUUUUUCUGGGUAAAAUUUGACCAUCGCACAACAAUCUACCAUGUUCUUAUUAUAUUUUAAUUUAUUAAUUGUACGUACACAUUUAUUAUUAAAAAAUUGAAUAAUCCCGCCGCAACGCGGAGGUUUGUAUCUAGUUUCUUUUUAAAAUUAUAUUCCUUAUACUUGAAUAUAAGUACACUUAUCGAUUCAACCUGAUCAUUAAAUUAUUUUGAUAGAUUUUGUAUAAAGAUAAGGUUGUAUCCCUUAUCCAAAAUAGGUUAGUCAUAUAUAUCUGUAUCCUCUAUAUAUAUAACUAGUCACUUACUACAAUCAAGAACAAUAUCAGAAAAAUUAUUCAAUUACCAAAGCAGACUUAUUUACACCUAUAUUUAAUAACGAGUAAUAAAUUCAAGUUUUAUAAGGCGAUUUAUAUGAAAAUUAUUUUCUUUUUAAACCAUAUUAUUUAGGUUGUAAUAAAAUUUUAUCACAUAAUGGUAACAAAUUAAUAUUAAAUAAUUUUUUUCUAAAAUUAUAUUACUUAUACUUGAAUAUAAGUACACUUAUAUUUAAUAACGAGUAACAAAUUCAAAUUAGAUAAGGAAAUUUAUGUGAAAAUUAUUUUCUUUUUAAACCAUAUUAUCUAAGUUGUAAUAAAUUUUUAUCUCAUAAUGGUAAUAAAUUAAUAUUAAAUAAUAUGAUCUUAUAAUUGUUUCCUUAGAAAUUAUAAUACUAUUUUUUUUUGAUUUGGUUAAACUAAACGAAUGUCUUUUUGAAGACUUGUAAUAUUAUUGUCGUUUUGAAUUAUUAUUUAUAAAUUCUUAAUUGAUAGAGUAAUUAAUUUUUAUUUUUAUUUAAUAAUUGAAUCAUAUGGUCAAUUAGUAUAUUAUAUUUUUAUUUUAAUAACAAUAACAAUUAUGCCAUCUACAUAAUUAUUAUAUCUCAUUUAUACUCGAAACUAUUAUUACUUAUAUUUUAAUAAUAAUAACAAAUUUAAGUUAGGUAUAUGAUUUUUAUGAUAAUUUGUUUUUCUUGUCAAUCUAUUUUAUCUAAAUGGAAAUAUAAUUUUAUUUAAAUUUGUAUUAUUGUUUAUAUAUUUGAAUAAAAGAAAUCAAUUAAUAUUAGACACAAUGAUUUUAUUUUGAUUAUUUCCUUAUAUAACUAUACUACUAAUUCUCGUUUCUUUAUAAAAUUACGAUACAAAUUUUAAUUUUUAAAUAAGCCUAUAUUAUUAUGUAUAUAUAUUUUAAUAAAAAUAACAACUCAAUAUUAUAUAAUAUGAUCUUAUUUUUAUUUUUUUUGUGAUAAAACUAUACAACUAAUUAAUUGCAUAGCACUAGCCUUUAUUCUUUAUUAUUUUUUCUAUAAAAAAAGAAUAUUUUUUAAACCCAUAUUAAAUGAACAAAUUAAAUAAUAUCUAUUAACAAAAUCCUUCUCAAACUAUAUUAUCUAAGUUGUAAUAAAAUUUUAUUUUAUAAUGGUAACAAAUUAAUAUUAGGUAAGAUAAUUUUAUGAUUGUACAUAUAUCCCUUCAAACUUACCAUAACUUCACAAUACAAAAUAUUAGUACAACCCUAAAUUUAUUCAAUCAAUUAAAAAUCAACCAAAUAACUUGAAUUGAGGCAUCAUAUCUUCAAAAUCAUGUCGUGUCAUUCAUCAAGCCAAAAUUUAUCCACCCAUUUUUGCAUGAUUAAUGCUUUCUAACAGUAUAUAUAUAACUCAUGCAUCAUACAUCAAUAGUUGCCUGCACCUCAAAAACAAGAGUCUUAAACCACAAAUAUUAAGUAUCAUCAUGUCAACAACCCUAGUAAGUUGGACGUGGGAAGAGAACAAAGCUUUUGAGAACGGCAUUGUGAUGUAUUUGAGGAAAGAAUUGGAAGACGAAUUCCAGCAGAUUGCGGCGAUGGUUCCGAGCAAAACCAUGGAGCAAGUGAAAUAUCACUACAAGAUUCUUGUAGAGGAUCAACUCACUUAAUUUGGAAAACAACUGCCUUUCAAUUUGAAAAUUUGGCCGAGGUGAACUCAAUUAAUUUGAAAAACAGCUGAGGAAUGUCGAUUAAAAAUUAAAUCCAUCGAUUCCCUUUCGCAAUUCUAUCCUGAAUUCCAAAUCUCAUAUACAAUUGAUCGGUUACUCUUCCGUUUCUCUUCAUCUCUUUUCAGAUUUCCAAUCUUCUUCUUCCACUUUCAGUCGAUUCCUUUUUUUUUUUUGUAUUUUUUUGAUUCUUUUCCGUCCUUACAAUGACAAAAUACUCCUUACGUGUUACAAUACUCCUUUCGAUUUGAAGAGAUCUAAAAUUGGAAAGUUUUUACCAAAGUGAAUUCACAAGAAAAUGUAAUAAUAUGAAAAAUAGUUUAGUUCAGUUUGAGAAGUCUAAGUUAUAGCUCAAAUAGUUUAGUUUGAGAAAUCUUUAAGGAGUAUCUCAUUUUGUAAUGUGCUAUGAUGUUUGCUUGCUAGCUGCUCUGGUAUAUAAGACCAGCUGAAAAGAGAAAUCAAUUUCACGCAUUUAAAGAACUUAUUUUCGUAUAUAAGCGAAGUUUAUUUCCUAUUUGGCUGACCAAAUUCGCUUUAUAUCAUAUUGAGAUUGAGAAGAGGAGCACUGAAUUUGGGCUUAUUAUUAUUAUGCAAAAUAAUGUGAGCUAAAUUUUAAUUGUAUUGAAUAGUAUAAUUUGUUUCUUAUGCUGCAACUGAAAUUUAGGAGUGUAUAAUGUAAAGAGUUGUUGGUCAAAAGAAGAAAUUCGUCACCUACAACGACAUGUUGUGGCUGGAAAAUUAAUAGGGUAACAUAUAUACUUCUACGACAUCAAUUUGCAAUUGCCUUUGAAUUGUGAGUUUCUCUCUAUAAACCCCUUGAUUUCUUAUCUCAAAGUCGUCAUAAGGUAGAGUUUAGAGGAUUUAACCGUUAUCUAACAAGACAUGCAAAUUCACAAAAAAAAUGUUGUAUGGUGAAAGACCAAGUACACAUUCUAGGGAUUUUAUUUGUAAAUUUUUUAUGCUUGUUAAACUAAAUUCAGUACAACUGAAUCAACCAAAUAAGAUUAUUGAACCAAAUCAGAUUAAAAGGGAAAAUGCAAGUCACUAUAAUUGGUCUACCAAAUAAGAUUAUAUAUUCAAACAAAAUCAAAGUAAUGAAACCCUAAUUCAAAGAUAGACCCAAUUCAUAAUUUCAAUCCCAAUUUCAUCCAUUUCAGACUGAAAUCCUAAUUUCAGACCUAAGUCCAAAUUUUAAAAACAAUUUCAGACCCAAUUUCAACAAAUUAACAAUCCCAGAACAAUUUCCAUGCACAUUCCUCCUAUCCGAAAUUUAGACCCAAAUAAAAAAUAACACAAAUAUAGACCAAUAAUUCUAAUUCAUGUAUAAAUCUUGAACUGACAGUGAAUAAUGGUGUUUCAAUUUACUUAAAACUACCUUAAGCCACUAUUUCUGCCGGCGGCAACGCAACUGUAAUGGCAGUGGUCCGACGAGUGUGCCCUUUGACGUCAGCCAGUGAUUAGUGGAAAUGAGAGAGUGAGAUGUAAUGAGAGUGAUAGAUGAGUGGUAAAUUGGUUAGAGUGAUGAGUGGUAAACUGAGAGUGAGAUGACUCGAGAGUGAGAGAGAGUAAUAAGAGAUGGGAUUUAUGGGAUGAGGUAAAUGCUAGAAAUGUGAGGUUCCCAAAUUCGGGUAUCUUCCAACUCGACAUAUGGUGCUACAGUUCACACAUACAUUCAAUUGAAAUUUCUCAAAAGAACGAAUAUGUCUUAUAUAUAUUCCAACUAAUAUUACCAUUCCCCAGGUUCUUUAUAACCAUUACAUGUGUUCUUGUAAUAAUAUCAAAUAAUAACAACAUUCACCUAUACUAUUACAAAGGUAAUCUAUAGGUUCACCUUAGCCUUCCCUUUAUCUUUACCGGAUCCUUCGGUCCGUUCGGUCUUAGCUGCAUUCAUAUGGUUCAAGCAAGAGUGAGCAUAACUAGCUCAGCAAGUAUGACAAUUCCAUUUAAACAAUUUGCUUGAACAUACAAAUUAUAUAUCUUCAAUAACUGAACAAUAGUUAUGAAGUACUAUCGAUAAUUCAAAAUAACACUUCUCGUUUCUUUAAAACAUUUCACAAUGAAUAACAUUCAGUAAAACAUUAAUUCCGGUCCAAGACCUUGAUCAUUUCAUACAUUCUUUAAAACGGACAACCCGACACCAAGUCCGUAAGUCCGGUAUAUCUUACGAGCACGUCUAGGUGAUAAGCCUAUAGUACUUUAUGUUGUACAACACUACUUUCUUUAAAUGUAUGUAUGUUUAAGUUUUGGCAACCUCACGUGCCUAUCAUUUGACGAAAAAAUAUUUUUUUAGCAUACUCAGUCUACUUUUGAAAACCAUACCAAAAUAGUUUGGAAAAUCUUAACAACAGUUUGAUAGAUUAUAAGAAAUCCAAAAACAUCUUAAGUCUAGCCGAAGAAAUUGGCUUUGACUUCAUCAUACAUCAAUUCAUGCGUAAGAUACAUGAAUCACAAAGCUUUUCUAGAAUAAACAUAGACAUGGGUUAGAACACUUGCCUUUAGCGUCUGCUACUGUAAUUAACCUUUCCCUUUAAGUCUUUAAGGUCUCUACAAUACAUAAUCACAUAACAUACCACAUUAGGUCAUGAACAAACAUGUAUGGUUCCUAACGUAUCUUACCCUUCUUCUCAAUCUAAUUGUUUAUUAGAUUUGUUUAACAUUGGUUCCGGUUUAUCGCAUUAUAUUGUUCUUACGUUCAAUUAAUCUUUCUUCAACCUUUAGUUGUUAACUUAGGGUUAUAAACAUCCUUUAAUGAUGUUACUUUAAGUUUAUUAAGGAUUUAAUUCAUCUUCAAUCAACUAUCUUUCAUUUUACAUUCAAAAUCUUUCUUUUCUAUGUUCUUCUUAGUCCUAGCGUUGCGGCGCCAGCUUACCUUAUACAACUCGCGCUGCGGCGCAGAUUUCCAGUAGGUGAUGCUCAGUCUUGGCGCUGCGACGCCACUCUUUCCUCUUUGUACUGCGUUGCGGCGCCACUUUUCAGUGCCUAUGGUCCGGACUCGGCGCUGCGGCGCAAAUCCCUUAGUUACCUGCCGCGUUGCGGUGCCACUCUUCAGUGGCUGAUGGUCAAGUCUGGCGCUGCGGCGCCAAGGACAGUGCCUUGGUUGGCGCUGCGGCGCCAACUUUGUGCACCAUAUAGUUUUGACAGACUUUUUACUUAGCAAACUUCCCGGACUCCUAAAUUGUUCAUUUUAAAUUCGAAUUGGCUCGUUCAAAUGCCAUUAGCUCACAAAUCACAUUCUCUAAGUGUUCAUGUAAAAAUUUUACAUUUUUGAAUCUUUUAACUCGGAAUUCACCUAUUAGUUCAUUUUAAUAAAAACGAUAAACGUUCGUGAACGUUCAUAGUUCGUUUCUCUGUUCUAAGUCCGAAUUUAGUCAUUUUUGAGUCCGCAACUCUAAAAUGCAAAUCUAGACUAUUCUCCAUCAAAAACCAACGUUUUCGAGUUCAAUGCUAACUUUUGACUUCCAUUCCGAGAAUUUCACGAUUUCGACUAUUAUCGUCUAAUCUCAUAAAUUCUGCCAUAACUUCAUUAGUUAAUAUUUUUACAUCGUUUCAAAUGGAUUCAUUCCAUCAUACUAACAUCCUAACCAAACAUAUUUCCUUAAAUUAUACACGACAAUUUCUUACAUGUUCUUCCUUAGUUCAUAACUUAAAUAAGUAUGAAUUACUUGUAAAUGGCUUAUUAAGGUUUAAGUCCAUUGAUUAGCCAUUCUUAUUACUUCUUAGCAUACAUGUUCUAUCAAUCAACACUUCUCUAUCAACCUAUAAUUGAAGAGAUGGAAGAUUAAUAAUCUAGGAUUCUUACCCUUGAUGAUCACUUGGUUCUUCUUCUUUUCUACUUGAAAUAACAAGUCUAGCUUUUCUUACUUUUUCUCUCUACUCAAUAAGUUAUAAGUUGUUGGUGAAAAAUUUAACAAGUAAAUAAUCUAGCAACUCUUCUCUUAUUUAUAGGAUUUCCUAAUUGAGGGCAUUCUAGAAAUUAAGCAAUGUCACCUCCUUAACCACCUCCUUACUAUUCAUCCCUUGGCCAUCACAUAACUUAUCCUUUUCUUGCUCACCAAGAUCAUGCCAUGUGAUCAUGGGGCCCACAUGGGUUGCCCCAUGGGUCAUUCUUAUCUAUUGGAUAGAUCCACGGAUCCGGUCCUUAAUUUGGGCUUUAUUUUUAAUUAACUUUAACUUAUUCUUUUGGCUUUCAUUAUUAAACAUUGGGCCUUAACAUUAAUUCCUAUUGGACUUUAACCAUUCCUCCACAAAUCCUACAAGUCAAAUACACGUGCUUAAUACCUUAUAAUGUACAAUCUAUGUAUUAUUCUCGUAUACUAACUCGUAUACUCAUACAUUAUAUACGACAUACCAUCAUUCAUACAUACUCGUAUAAUACCUCGUAUCAUACUCGUAUUCAUUACCUCUUACAAUACUUACGUAUCAUACGAUCAUCGUUUACUCAUUAACGCUUUACUUUCCCUAACAUUCUCGAAUUUAGUCCGCAGGCGAAAAACUGCGUUUGUCAUAUGUUAAUUAUUAUUACAUAAUCCAUCUUCCCUUGACAUUCUAUCAUUAAGUAUUUCUCAGAAGUUUAAAAAUAAUUCCUGAGCAGAAAUCAGUGAAUAGUAUUUUUCAAAAAAUUUCUCGAAAAACUUUUAUUUUUGUCUUGGAAAUUCAAACACUUUAAUUCUACCACAUAGUCAAAAUACUAUGACAUUCUGAUAUAUCUAGGUUAUAGAAUGACAUUCCUCUUACUAACACAUAAUAAUAAUAUAUAAUAUAAUUUUAUUCAUUAUUUAAUGAAAUAAAAUUAUUCUAUAAUAAAUCCGAAUUUCUCGGUCGUUACAUCCUUCCCCCCCUUAUAAGGAUUCUGUCCCCAGAAUCUUGUCUUACAUUAAACAAAUAACUGAGGGUAAUCCUUCCUCAUCUUUUCUUCAAACUCCCACGUUGCUUCUUUGGCAUCGUGGUUCUUCCAUAACACCUUACUGAAGGUAUAACUUUGUUCUGCAGAACUUACUCUUUUCUAUCGAUGAUUUGAAUUGGCACCUCUUCAUACGUUAAGUCCUUCUCGAUAUGAAUAGGCUUAUACUCUAUUACGUGCUUAUAAUUCAGCUUAUAAAGAUGUAACACAUAUACAUGAAAUACAUUAUGUAUUCGUUCUAAGUCUGGAAAAUGCUAUCAUGUAAGCUACCUCUCCUACCCGUUUUAAUACCUCAAAAGGUCCUAUAAACCUUGGACUUAACUUUCCCUUCUUUCCAAAGCGUAUCUUUCCUUUUUAGGGAGAUACCUUUAGAAAUACAUACGAGCCUACUUCAAACUCUCUAUUUACUUGAUGCGAGUCUGCAUACUUUUUCUGUCUGUCUUGAGCUGCUACGAGACGCAUCCGUAUCAACUUCACUACAUCCGUUGUUUGCUGCACCAAUUCUGGCCCUAGCAUUCGGAGUUCUCCCACUUCAUCCCAACACAAUGGUGUUAUGCACUUCCUUCCGUAUAAAGCUUCGUAAGGCAGCAUGCCUAUGCUUGAAUGAUAAAUAUUUUUAUACGCAAACUCUACUAACGGUAGAUGAUCAUCCCAAUUACCCUUAAAAUCCAUGACGCAAGAUCUCAACAUAUCUUCUAACGUCUAAAUUUUCCACUUGCUCCGUCCAUCGGUUUGUGGAUGAUACGCUGUACUUAACUUCAGUUGUGUUCCCAACUGCUCUUGCAGACUCCUCCAAAAGUUUGAUGUGAAUCGUGGAUCACGAUCUGACACUAUCGAAACUGGUACUCCAUGUCUAGAAAUAAUUUUCUUAACAUAAAGUUUAGCUAACUGGUCUAAGUGAUACUUAACCCAUAUUGGCAAAAAGUGAGCCGACUUCGUCAACCGGUCCACUAUUACCCAAAUCGCAUCAUACCCCUUCUGAGUAAUUGGAAGUCCCACCACAAAGUCCAUCGUGAUAUGCCCCCACUUCCACUCCAGAAUCUCUAAUGAUUGUAACAAGCCACUUGGUCGUUGAUGUUCGGCCUUAACCUUUUGAUAAGUCAAGCACCUACUCACGUACUCUGCUAUCUCUCUCUUCAUGUUCGGCCACCAAAAACUCUAUCGAAGGUCUUGAUAUAUCUUGGUACUACCAGGAUGAAUCGAGUACCUUGAACUAUAAGCUUCUUGUAACACUUGUUCCUUUAAUUCUGUCUCAUUCGGAACCCAAAUUCUUCCUUCCAAUCUUAAUAAUCCCUCAUUAUCAAGAUUGUACUUUAAAUCUUUUUCAUCUACUAACCGCUUCUUCAUCUGGUCACACUCAUUAUUUCUGAGCUGUACCUCCUUGACUCUCUCUACAAUGGUAGAUUGAAUCUCUGUCGUAAAUAGUCUCUAUCCCGAUUCACUCGGUAACUUCACCUCUAUCUCCAUCCUAGCCAUCUCUAUUAUUAACUCAGUUUGAGCCAUUAACAUAGACAACUUAUCCCGACCAUUCCUACUUAAGGCAUCGACCACUACAUUGGCUUUCACCAGAUGAUACAGGAUUUCACAAUCAUAAUCCUUUAUCAACUCCAGCCAUCUCCUUUGUCUCAUAUUCAACUCAUUCUGUGUGAAGAUAUAUUUUAGACUCUUAUAGUUCAUGUAUAUCUCACAUUUCUCUCCGUAAAGAUAAUGUCUCCAUAUCUUUAAGGCAAACACUACCGCGGCCAGUUCCAGAUCAUGUGUAGGGUAAACUUUCUCAUAAUCCUUCAACUGCCAUGAUGCAUAUGCAAUGACCUUGCCAUGCUGCAUGAGCACGCAACCAAGUCCUCUAUGCGAAGCAUCGCUAUAAACUACGAAAUUUCCUGUAUCAUCGGAUAAUGACAAUACAAGUGCUUCACUUAAUCUUUUCUUCAGUUCUUGGAAACUGUCUUCACACUUCUCUGUCCAUACGUAUUUCACCGCCUUUCUUGUCAAGUUAGUCAAUGGAGUAGCUAUCUUAGAAAAAUCCUGGAUGAAUCUUCGAUAGUAUCCUGCUAACCCUAGGAAACUCCGCACCUCAGUCGGUAUUUUCGGUUGUUCCCAAUUCAUCACGGCUUCCACCUUCGCUGGAUCUACUGAAAUCCCCUCAUGGUAAAUAACAUGACCUAAAAAUUAUACCCUUUCCAACCAAAAUUCACACUUAGUGAACUUCGCAUAUAACUUCUCAUUCCUUAGUGUCUCCAACACUAUUCUUAGGUGUUCAGCGUGAUCUUCUGGCGUCUUAGAAUAGACUAUAAUAUCAUCAAUAAACACCAUGACAAACUUGUCCAAAUAUGGUUUGAACACUCUGUUCAUCAUAUCCAUAAAUACAACUGGUGCAUUAGUCAACCCAAAUGACAUCAGUAGAAACUCGUAAUGACCAUAACGAGUCCUGAAUGCCAUCUUUGGUACAUCCUCCUUCCUAACCUUUAACUGAUGAUACCCCGUCCAUAAAUCUAUUUUAGAAAAAUACUUUGCCUCUUUCAACUGAUCAAAAAGAUCAUCGAUCCUGGGCAAUGGUUAUUUAUUCUUUAUUGUUAACUUGUUCAACUCUCGAUAGUCGAUACAAAGUCUUAACGAUCCGUCCUUCCUCUUUACAAACAGUACCGGUGCUCCCCACGGUGAAACACUUGGUUGAAUGUACUUUCUAUCCAACAGUUCUUGUAAUUGAACCAUUAACUCCUUCAUCUCCACCGACGCUAUACGAUACGGUUCCCUGGAAAUUAGUGCCGCUCCUGGCACAAUGUCUAUUACGAAUUCGGUCUCCCUAUCCGGUGGAAGACCUGACAAUUCACUUGGAAAUACAUCCAUAAAUUCUUUAACUAUAGGGAUUUGUUCCAUUGUUGCUCCCACUCUCUAGGUAUCAACAACAUGGAACAAAUAACCUACACAUCCCUUCCUUAUUAGUUUUCUAGUUUGUGUCAUAGUAAGGCAACACGAACGCCCCAACGAUUUAGUACCGUAAAAUACUACAUGAGGUUGUCUCGACGUUCUAAUAUUUAAACAUUUCUUUUGGCAAUCUAUUAUUGAACCAUGGUUAAACAACCAAUCCAUCCCGAGAAUUACAUCAAAUUCUCCCAACUUUAUCGGUAUCAAAUCUACCAAUAAUUUAUAACCUCGUAUAUCUACACAACAACUCAUAUGAAUAUCUUUAACAGAAAUUAUUUCUUCAUUUGCUACCUUAAUAUUCAAAGGUACAUGCAAUCUUUCGGGAAGUAAUCCUGAUCAUCUAGCAAACUCACAUGCUAUAAACAAACAAGUAGCACCCGAAUCAAACAGCACGUAAGCAUUUAUAUCGUUGACUGGGAUAAUACCUGCAACUACAUCCCCGGAUGCAACUGCAUAUUCGACCGUCAUGUUAAAGGUGUGGGCCAUCGGCCUACCCGACUGCACUGGAUCACCAAUAGCUAACUUAAUGCUAGUAGCUCCUUUAUUUCCAUCCAUCCCCUUCUUUGGGUAAUUCUUCACUGUGUGGUCAGUUAAUCCAUAUACGAAGCAUCCACGGUUUUCUUCGGACUUGGAUAGUUAGGCAAAAUAUGCCCCUCCUAUCCACAGUUGUAAUAUACUGCCUUCCCCUUGAGAUAGACUCCUAAGUGAGUCUUUCCACAGUUCUUGCAUGCCUCCAUCCUCCUCUUAGGAUCCCCUUGCUUCACUCUGGUAUUCCCAGAGUUAAAUCCCUUCCUCUUUUGACCGUCGCAACUCCCGCUGGCUCCCUCGAUCUUUACUCCCCCAUCUACCUUACCUUUAUUCUUCUUCUCCUUGUGGUACUGGCUUAAAGCCUCAUUCCCACCCUCGGUGAUUAUUUCCUUCUCUAGUAUGGUCCCAAAAGAAGUACUUUGGAACACAGAUAUUCGGCUAUAGAGCCAGGGUUUCAAGCCAUACUCGAACCUCUUAGCCUUUCUCACCUCCGUGUCCACUUGGUGUGGAGCAAACCUUACAAGUUCCUUGAACUUGGAAGCAUAUUGGGGAAUAGUCAUCUCCCCUUUUUUCAACUCUAGAAACCACAUUUCCAUCCUCCCCUACAUACUUGUGAGAAAGAAGUUCUCGAAGAAAAUCUCAUUGAACCGCACCCACGUAAGGUUCUCUAUACCAUCCCUAGCCUGGUUUGCCUCCCACCAAAAGUUGGCCUCUCCCUUCAUCACGUAGGUAGCAAAAGCAACCUUUUGCCCCUCGUCGACAUUUGCAAUAAUAAAUGCCUUUUCUAUUUCUUUUACCCACGUUUGGGCUUCUAUUGGGUCCAUAGUUCCUUUGAACUCCAGCAGACUGACACUCUUAAAAUCCUUAAAAGUAGUAGCUCGUACUACUGUAGGAUUUACGGGUAUAUUAGCACCAUUUCUAUUAAAAGUGGCCAUUAACAAGUUAACAAACUCUUGCAUCGGGUUAACCGGACCUCCUUCCGAUUGAUUAACAUUAGCAUCUUGAUUUCUUUGUCUUCUUCUUGGCGGCAUCUUUCUAUUAAAGUAAAUAACAUUUCAUUAUUAUUCACUUCUUGUUAGUUAGUUAUUAUUCAUUAUUAAACAAUAACUCAUACUCCUUGCACAAUAUUUUCCAUAAAAUAAAACUUAUAUUGAUUUAUUUCUUGUAGUAUAAUACUACAUCGUUCACAUUACACAUCCUAAGCUGAUUACAUUAUUAUCCCGCAAUUGCUUUCCAAAAAUUAGGAUUUACAAAAGACUACCCUUUGAUAUACAAAAGAAGGUUUUACAUCACUACUAGAUACAUCAUAUUUACAUAUCUAACUCUACUUUAGCUAAUACUAGGUUACAUCUGCCGUAUGGAAUUCUCAAAAUCCGCGUUAUCAAGACCGGCUAUAAUAUCUCCGCUGAUAGUAUGCCGAGUCUACCCUACUUCUAUCGGAUACCCAGCUACUUGCUGCUGAAAAUCCGCAUGAGAACUCCUAUAUAUAUAGGACAUCCUCCCAAUCUUCUGCUUCUUGGUCUUUAGCUCCUGCCUGAGCUCAAAGACCUCGUGUUUUAGCUCAUAGACCUUGUUUACCAAAAGCUUCUCAUCAUGUUCCCCUCCCACAUUGACUCUAUACUCGUCUUAUCUUCCAAAAUAGCAUGAAGCUCCUCCUUCAGCUCCUUUACCUCCUUAUAAUACUGGAUGUUUCUAUCCAAUAUUGUCAUGAACAAUGAUUUCAUUGACUCCCCGGAGUCAUCUCUUCUUCAGGUGAUAUAGUGUUAAAUGACACCACCUCCACCUCCUCUUCAGACAUGCCAUCGAACAAAGACAUAAGGUCUAGGUUUUUCGAGUCUCUAGACUCGACUAUCACCACUUCAGGCUCUUCUGCAAUAGGGUUCGGUAGGAUCUCUACUUGAUUCACCGACUCCUCACUUACUACAUGUAUAUCCCUAUACAUUUUGUUUUCUCCUGACAUCUACAACAAAACAAUUUAGUUUGAUUAGUACACAUCAGUAGAAUAAUAAAAACACAUAUCACAUUUAAUGAAUUUUUAGGGUUAAUUUCAUCUUUUACUUCUUUAACUCUUCUUAAGGUUAUGACUUAAGGUUCUAUUUCCCCCCUUAAGUUUUCUAACCUAUUGCUUUGAUACCAACCUGUGAAGCCCCCAAAUCCGAGUAUCUUCCAACCCGACAUAUGGUGCUACACGGUGCUACAGUUCACACAUACAUUCAAUUGAAAUGCCUCAAAAGAACAGAUAUGUCUUAUAUAUAUUCCAACCAAUAUUACCAUUCCCCAGGUUCUUUAUAACCAUUACAUGUGUUCUUGUCAUAAUAUCAAAUAAUAACAACAUUCACCUAUACUAUUACAAAGGUAAUCUAUAGGUUCACCUUAGCCUUCCCUUUAUCUUUACUGGAUCCUUCGGUCCGUUCGGUCUUAGCUGCAUUCAUAUGGUUCAAUCAAGAGUAAGCAUAACUAGCUCAACAAGUAUUACAAUUCCAUUUAAACAAUAUGCUUAAACAUACAAAUUGUAUAUCUUCAAUAACUGAACAAUAGUUAUGAAGUACUAUCGAUAAUUCAAAAUAGCACCUCUCUUUUCUUUAAAAUGUUUCACAAUGAAUAACAUUCAGUAAAAUAUUAAUUCCGGUCUAAGACCUUGAUCAUUUCAUACUUUCUUUGAAAAGGACAACCCAACACCAAGUCUGUAAGUCCGGUAUAUCUUACGAGCACGUCUAGGUGAUCAGCCUAUAGUACUCUAUGUUGUACAACACUACUUUCUUUAAAUGUAUGUAUGCUUAAGUUUUGGCAACCUCACGUGCCUGUCGUUUGACGAUAAAACAUUUGUUUAGCAUACUCAGUCUUCUUUUGAAAAUCAUACCAAAAUAGUUUGGAAAAUCUUGACAACAGUUCGAUAGAUUAUAAGAAAUCUAAAAACAUCUUAAGUCUAGCCGAAGAAAUUGGCUUUGACUUCAUCACACAUCAAUUCAUGUGUAAGAUACAUGAAUCACAAAGCUUUCCCAGAAUGAACAUAGACAAGGGUUAGAACACUUGCCUUUAGCGUCUACUACUGUAAUUAUACUUUCCCUUUGAGUCUUUAAGGUCUCUACAAUACAUAAUCACAUAAAAUACCACAUUAGGUCAUGAAUAAACAUAUAUGGUUCCAAACAUAUCUUACCCUUCUUCUCAAUCUAAUUGAUUAUUAGAUUUGUUUAACAUUGGUUUCAAUUUAUCGUAUUACAUUGUUCUUACGUUCAAUUAAUCUUUCUUCUACCAUUAGUUGUUAACUUAGGGUUAUAAACAUCUUUUAAUGAUGUUACUUUAAGUUUAUUAAGGAUUUAAUUCAUCUUCAAUCAACUAUCUUUCAUUUUAUAUUCAAAAUCUUUCUUCUCUAUAUUCUUCUUAGUGCUGGCGCUGCGGCGCCAGCUUCCCUUAUACAACUCGCGCUGCGGCGUGGGUUUCCUGUAGGUGAUGCUAAGUCUUGGCACUGCGGCACCACUCUUUCCUCUUUGUGUUGCGCUGCGGCGCCACUUUCCAGUGCCUAUGGUAUGGAAUCGGCGCUGCGGUGCGAGUCCCUUUGUUACCUGCCGCGCUGCGGUGCCAUUCUUAAGUGGUUGAUGGUCAAGUUUGGCGCUGCGGCGCCAAGGACAGUGCCUUGGUUGGCACUGCGGCGCCAACUCUGUACACCAGAUAGUUUUUACAGACUUUUUGCUUAGCGAACUUCCCGUACUCCUAAAUUGUUCAUUUUAAGUCCGAAUUGGCUCGUUCAAAAGCCAUUAGCUCACAAAUCACAUGCUCUAAGUUCUCAUGUAAAAAUUUUACAUUUUUGAAUCUUUUAACUCAGAAUUCACCGAUUAGUUCAUUUUAACGAAAACGAUAAACAUUCGUGAAUGUUCAUAGCUCGUUUCUCCGUUCUAAGUCAGAAUUUGGUCAUUUUUGAGUCCGCAACUCUAAAAUGCAAAUCUAGACUAUUCUCCAUUAAAACCCAACACUUUCAAGUUCAAUGCUAACUUUUGACUUCCAUUCCGAGAAGUUCACGAUUUCGACGAUUAUCGUCUAAUCUCGUAAAUUCCACCAUAACUUCGUUACUUAAUAUUUUUACAUCGUUUCAUAUGGAUUCAUUUCAUUAUACUAACAUCCUAACCAAACAUAUUUCCUUAAAUUAUACACAUGAUAAUUUCUUACAUGUUCUUCCUUAGUUCAUAAUUUAAAUAAGUAUGAAUUACUUGUACAUGACUUAUUAAGGUUUAAGUCCAUUGAUUAACCAUUUUUAUUAGUUCUUAUCAUACAUGCUCUAUCAAUCAACACUUCUCUAUCAACCUACAAUUGAAGAGAUGGAAGAUUAAUAAUCUAGGAUUUUUAUCCUUGAUGAUCACUUGGUUCUUCUUCUUUUCUACUUGAAAUAGCAAGUCUAGCUUUUCUUACUUUUUCUCUCUACUCAAUAAGUUAUGAGUUAUUGGUGGAAAAUUUAACAAGUAAAUAAUCUAGCAACUCUUCUCUUAUUUAUAGGAUUUCCUAAUUGAGGGCAUUCUAGACAUUAAGCAAUCUUACCUCCUUAACCACCUCUUUACUAUUCAUUCCUUGGCCAUCACAUAACUUAUCCUUUUCUUGCUCACCAAGAUCAUGCCAUGUGAUCAUGGGGCCCACAUGGGUUGCCCCAUGGGUCAUUCUUACCCACUGGAUCGAUCCACGGAUCCUGUUCUUAAUUUGGGCUUUAUUUUUAAUUAACUUUAAUUUAUUCUUUGGGCUUGCAUUAUUAAACAUUGGGCCUUAACAUUAAUUCUAAUUGGACUUUAACAAUUCCUUCACAAAUCCUACAAGUCCAAUACACGUGCUUAAUACCUUAUAACGUACAAUCUACGUAUUAUUCUCGUAUACUCAUACAUUAUAUACGACAUACUAUCAUUCAUACAGACUCAUAUAAUACCUCAUAUCAUACUCAUAUUCAUUAUAUCGUACAGUACUUACGUAUCAUACGAUCAUCGUUUACUCAUUAAUGUUUUACUUUCCCUAACAUUCUUGAAUUUAGUCCACAGGCAAAAAAAUGCGUUUGUCAUAUGUGAAUUAUUAUUACAUAAUCCAUGUUCCCUUAACAUUCUAUCAUUACGUAUUUCUUAGAAGUUCAAAAAAUAAUUCCCGAGCAGAAAUCAGUGAAUAGUGUUUUUCGAAAAAUCUCUCGAAAAACUUUUAUUUUCGUCUUGGAAAUUCAAACACUUUAAUUCUACCACAUAGUCAAAUUACUACGACAUUCCGACAUAUCUAGGUUAUAGAAUGACAUUCCUCUUACUAACACAUAAUAAUAAUAAUAUAUAAUACAAUUUUAUUCAUUAUUUAAUGAAAUAAAAUUAUUUUACAAUAAAUCUGAAUUUCUCGGUUGUUACAAGAAAUGAAUUUGAUUAGGUUUUAUAACUUACUUCGUUGAAAUUAUUAUUGGUUUGACAGGAUUGUUGGCACCAUGAAAUGGCCACUGUUUUCGACGAAAUUUCGUUGAAUUUAAUGUAUUUACGAAUGACUUGUCUUCGACGAAUUUUUUUGUCAAAAUUACAUUAUGCUCGACGGAAUUUUGUCCGUCAAAAAUUAAUUCUUCGAAAUUAUCCAUUUUUCUUGUAGUGUGAUGGAUUACAAAUUGUUUUCCUUUUCAAAAUUACAAAGUUGCAAAGUUUUGAAAAAGUAUGGAAGUCCAAUUAAGUACAAACCCCACGCUUGGUCUAGUCAAGCACAAUAAAUUAAUUCAAGCAAAGCGGCAUGCAUGUGGGUUUGUGUAUAAGAACCAUAAUUUUCUGGACCUAAUUACCCUUCUCGGAAGCACCUAUAUAAACAUGCUCGAUCAAUUAGAUACAUGUACACAACUAUCUCAACUAAUACUUUUAUUAGCCAAGAGACAUAUACAAUAUAUAUUUGAAAAUUUAAGAUUUAUUUAUAGCAAUCAAGCAUGGCAGAUUUGGCACCGAAGUCCAUUGUGCUGGCACUUUUCCUCCUCGCAAUAGUUCUCUCCCCAGCAAUGCCAUGUGAGGCAACUCGACUGCCUCAGCGAGGUUCAUAAAUAAUUCUAUAAAUGCAUUUAUUACAUAUAAUUAAUUACUCAAUCAAUUUAUUUUCCUUUAACAUAAAUUAAGUUUUCUGAUUUGUAUAAUUAAUUUAUUAAUGAAUUAUAUAGUUGUUGAUUUGAAUUAAAUAUGCCCACAGAGCUACUUCAGGGAGGCCCCAUAUGUCCUGCUUGUGUGUGUUGUACACCUCCGCCACCGGGCAAAUGUUGUCGUCGUUGCUGUGCUAAUCCAUCUCCUACCAGUCUUCAAUCUCAAAUUAUUAAUAAUGUUUCACCGUGAGAAAUCGAUAUAUCAAUCUCAAUCUCAAUCUAAACCUAAUAAUCCGCACUUAAUUUCAUAUAAUUAAUUUUACUAUAUACACCAUUAAAUAGUAGGAAAUUUAUAUUUUCACAUCAUUUUUUUGACAUUUUCACAUGUAGGGCC
rnacentral:lncRNA from 1 species